rnacentral:lncRNA from 1 species
AAUUGAAGAAACUAAAAAUUUGGAGGAGAUGUCGAUUGAUCAAUUAAUGGGAUCCUUACAAGCAUAUGAAGCAAAGCAUAAGAAAAAACAAGAUAUAGUGGAGCAAUUAUUCAAGAUGCAAAUAAAAGAUAAGGAAGAAAGUAUCAGAAAUGGAUGAGGUCAAUAUGGAAGAGGUCGUGGUCGUGGACGAGGUAAAGGCCAUGGACGUGGACGAGGAGGUUUCAACAACAAUAAAGAAAGAAGAGAAUACCCAAGUCGUGGGAGAGGCAACCAAGGUACAAGGUACGAUAAAUCUCAAAUCAAAUGUUAUUCAUAUAAAAAAUAUGGACACUAUGCUUCACAAUGUAAAGGGUCUCAAACCAAAGUCGAAGAGACCGCCAACCUUGUGGAGGAUAAGGGCCAAAAAGACGUGACCCUACUUCUAGCAUACAAAGGAGAAUAAGGGAGACAAGACAACACUUGGUACCUUGACACCGGCGCGAGCAACCAUAUGUGUGGAAAGAGGAGCAUGUUCGUGGAGCUCGACGAAUCGGUGAGUGGUAAUGUUUCUUUUGGUGAUGAAUCCAAAAUACCAGUNNNNNNNNNNNNNNNNNNNNNNNNNNNNNNNNNNNNNNNNNNNNNNNNNNNNNNNNNNNNNNNNNNNNNNNNNNNNNNNNNNNNNNNNNNNNNNNNNNNNNNNNNNNNNNNNNNCUUUAUCUCAAAUGUCUACUAUGUGCCCAACAUGAAAAAUAAUAUAUUGAGUUUGGGGCAACUCUUAGAGAAGCGCUAUGUCAUUCACAUUAAAGAUCAUAGUCUUUCCAUAAGAAAUAAUAAAAAUUAAUCACUAAGGUGCCUAUUUCCAUAAAUAGAAUGUUCUUGUUGAACAUUCAAAAUGAUGUUGCAAAGUGUCUUAAAGCUUGCUACAANNNNNNNNNNNNNNNNNNNNNNNNNNNNNNNNNNNNNNNNNNNNNNNNNNNNNNNNNNNNNNNNNNNNNNNNNNNNNNNNNNNNNNNNNNNNNNNNNNNNNNNNNNNNNNNNNNNNNNNNNNNNNNNNNNNNNNNNNNNNNNNNNNNNNNNNNNNNNNNNNNNNNNNNNNNNNNNNNNNNNNNNNNNNNNNNNNNNNNNNNNNNNNNNNNNNNNNNNNNNNNNNNNNNNNNNNNNNNNNNNNNNNNNNNNNNNNNNNNNNNNNNNNNNNNNNNNNNNNNNNNNNNNNNNNNNNNNNNNNNNNNNNNNNNNNNNNNNNNNNNNNNNNNNNNNNNNNNNNNNNNNNNNNNNNNNNNNNNNNNNNNNNNNNNNNNNNNNNNNNNNNNNNNNNNNNNNNNNNNNNNNNNNNNNNNNNNNNNNNNNNNNNNNNNNNNNNNNNNNNNNNNNNNNUUUGCGAGGAGCAUGGAAUAAGGCGUCCACUAACGGUACCAAGGUCCCCCCAACAAAAUGGAGUGGCGGAAAGGAAGAACCGGACAAUUCUAGACAUGGCACAGAGUAUGCUAAAGAGCAAGAAGCUACCAAAGGAAUUUUGGGCCGAAGUAGUAGCAUGUGCAGUCUAUCUACUCAACCGAUCACCAACAAGGAGAGUGUGGGGAAAGACACCACAAGAAGCUUGGAGUGGAAGGAUGCCAGGAAUCUCCCAUCUAAGAGUCUUUGGAAGCAAAGCAUACGGACAUGUACCUGACGAGACAUGGAGCAAGCUCGAUGACAAAAGUAAGGCGUUCAUCUUUAUCGGGUAUGAUUCCAACUCCAAAGGCUACAAAUUAUAUAAUCCAUAUACUAGCAAGCCUGUGAUAAGUCGGGACGUGGAGUUUGAUGAAAAAGGAGAAUGGAAUUUUUGUUCUCACAAGGACUUUAAUUCCAUUAUUCCAACUGAAGAAGAAGAACAAAGAUUUACAGAAGAGGAUGCCCAGCGAGAGAUAACUACUCCACCUACCUCGCCAACAGCAUUUCAAGAUGACUCGCCACCAUCAUUUCUGAAUAAAAGGAGCGAGGAACGCAUAAGGAGUUUGGAAGACACUUAUGAAGACACUUAAAGGUUAGAGGACCUAACUCUUCUUUGUCUAUUUGCUGAUUGUGAACCAGUUACCUUUGAAGAAGCCGUACAAAGUAAGAAAUGGCGAGAUGCAAUAGUACCUAACUCUUCUUUGUCUAUUUGCUGAUUGUGAACCAGUUACCUUUGAAGAAGCCGUACAAAGUAAGAAUUGGCGAGAUACAAUAGUUGAGGAGAUCCAGUCCAUCAAAAAGAAUGACACCUGGGUGCCGACUUCACUUCCAAAAGGGCAAAAGGCGAUCGAAAGAUACAAGGCGAGGCUUGUUGCAAAAGGAUACAGUCAAAGAGCCGGCAUCGACUAUNNNNNNNNNNNNNNNNNNNNNNNNNNNNNNNNNNNNNNNNNNNNNNNNNNNNNNNNNNNNNNNNNNNNNNNNNNNNNNNNNNNNNNNNNNNNNNNNNNNNNNNNNNNNNNNNNNNNNNNNNNNNNNNNNNNNNNNNNNNNNNNNNNNNNNNNNNNNNNNNNNNNNNNNNNNNNNNNNNCAAAUGGAUGUAAAGUCGGCGUUCUUGAAUGGAGUCCUUGAGGAAGAAGUUUACAUCCGACAACCUAUGGGCUAUGAGGUGAAGACGCAGGAAAACAAAGUCUUAAGAUUGAAGAAGGCGUUAUAUGGACUAAAGCAAGCACCUAGGGUGUGGAACAGUAGGAUCGACAAGUACUUGCAAGAAAAUAACUUCGCCAAAUGACCACAUGAGCAUGCGCUCUAUGCCAAGAUGAAAUAUGGAGAUAUCUUGAUCGUUUGCUUGUACGCGGAUGAUUUAAUCUUUGCAGGAAAUAACCAAAGGAUGAUCGAUGAGUUCAAGCAAGCAAUGGCUAAAGAGUUCGAGAUGACCGACAUUGGGCUUAUGGCGUACUAUCUUGGCAAUGAAGUCAAACAACUUGAGGAUGGAAAUUUCAUCUCACAGGAGUGCUAUGCGAAGGAGAUCCUAAAGAAGUUCAAGAUGGAUGAUUGCAACCCAGUCAAGACACCGGUGGAGUGCGGGAUCAUCCCUCNNNNNNNNNNNNNNNNNNNNNNNNNNNNNNNNNNNNNNNNNNNNNNNNNNNNNNNNNNNNNNNNNNNNNNNNNNNNNNNNNNNNNNNNNNNNNNNNNNNNNNNNNNNNNNNNNNNNNNNNNNNNNNNNNNNNNNNNNNNNNNNNNNNNNNNNNNNNNNNNNNNNNNNNNNNNNNNNNNNNNNNNNNNNNNNNNNNNNNNNNNNNNNNNNNNNNNNNNNNNNNNNNNNNNNNNNNNNNNNNNNNNNNNNNNNNNNNNNNNNNNNNNNNNNNNNNNNNNNNNNNNNNNNNNNNNNNNNNNNNNNNNNNNNNNNNNNNNNNNNNNNNNNNNNNNNNNNNNNNNNNNNNNNNNNNNNNNNNNNNNNNNNNNNNNNNNNNNNNNNNNNNNNNNNNNNNNNNNNNNNNNNNNNNNNNNNNNNNNNNNNNNNNNNNNNNNNNNNNNNNNNNNNNNNNNNNNNNNNNNNNNNNNNNNNNNNNNNNNNNNNNNNNNNNNNNNNNNNNNNNNNNNNNNNNNNNNNNNNNNNNNNNNNNNNNNNNNNNNNNNNNNNNNNNNNNNNNNNNNNNNNNNNNNNNNNNNNNNNNNNNNNNNNNNNNNNNNNNNNNNNNNNNNNNNNNNNNNNNNNNNNNNNNNNNNNNNNNNNNNNNNNNNNNNNNNNNNNNNNNNNNNNNNNNNNNNNNNNNNNNNNNNNNNNNNNNNNNNNNNNNNNNNNNNNNNNNNNNNNNNNNNNNNNNNNNNNNNNNNNNNNNNNNNNNNNNNNNNNNNNNNNNNNNNNNNNNNNNNNNNNNNNNNNNNNNNNNNNNNNNNNNNNNNNNNNNNNNNNNNNNNNNNNNNNNNNNNNNNNNNNNNNNNNNNNNNNNNNNNNNNNNNNNNNNNNNNNNNNNNNNNNNNNNNNNNNNNNNNNNNNNNNNNNNNNNNNNNNNNNNNNNNNNNNNNNNNNNNNNNNNNNNNNNNNNNNNNNNNNNNNNNNNNNNNNNNNNNNNNNNNNNNNNNNNNNNNNNNNNNNNNNNNNNNNNNNNNNNNNNNNNNNNNNNNNNNNNNNNNNNNNNNNNNNAUCUAGAGAGUGGAUAUUUUUGUAGAAUUGUGUAGAAGGUGAUUUGUAGCCAUUAGAUUAAAGUUGUGUUGGAUAAAUCUUGGCCAUUGAUUGAGGAAGUUGCCAAGUAUAAAUAGGUGUAGGAUUGCUCAUUUUGUAUGAAGCCAAAAAAAUCAAAAACAAGUUUGAGUAAUAAAAGUUUCUCUUCUCCAAAAUCUUUCUACUCUUCCAAAUUUCCCUUAGCCUAAAAGCUCCCUCCAAAUAUUAAUAGCAAUCCUCUUCCAACAUGUAUCAGGUUCGGAUUAUUGUUUCAAAAAUUAGAAUAUUUAAUUUUGUCAAGUGAAUUUUCUGUACAAAGUUUGGUUGUGAUCCGUAAUGUCAAAGUGUGAUUCAGACAAGUUCGGUGAUGUUUGAGUUUUGGAAAGUUAAGAGAAUGAUCAUGACCUUCGAUAUGUUGUUUUGAUGUUAAUUGCAGUGUAUAAGACUUUGGAUGAGUUUGAAUUAGGUAUAUGGAAUUAUUGGUAUGAUUGGACUAGAUCCCGAGGGGUUCGGGUAUAUUUCGGAUAGAUUUCCAACCAUUUUUGGAAUUGAGGGCACAACUAGUUUUGGUGCAUCGCACCUGCGAGAAUGGUUGCACAGAAGCGCUUUUGGAAUUGAGGGCACAACUAGUUCUGGUGCAUCGCACCUGCGAGAAUGGUUGCACAUAUGCGCAGUCGCAUCUAUGGUGCAUUGUGCACAAAAGCGCAUGUUAGUCAAUCUGGGAACGUCACGGGUGCCGCAAUUUGCGGACGCAUAAAGGAUGCUUGCUUUGUGAAUCUUUCUUAUAUUCCAUUUGGAGAGAUGCCAUUAGUAUUGGAGGUUGAGGCUUUGGCCAAUCAGUUUGUGAGGUUGGAUAAUUCGGAACUUAGAAGGGUUCUUGCUUGUGUAGUUUCACGGUAUUCUUUGUUCAAGCGCAUCAAGCCAUGUCAUAGUAUGAUGAUCCCUAUGUGCUUGUCCUUAAGGACACAUUGUAGCACAGUGAUGCUACAGAGGUUACUAUUGGAGAUGACGGGGGUAUUAAUGAUGUAGGGUCGUAUUUAUUUUCCAAAUGUGGAUAGGUUUAGAGGGUUGAUACUUGAGGAGGCUCAUAGUUCACGAUAUUCUAUUCAUCCGAGUUUAAUGAAGGUCUAUCAAGAUUUUAGGUAUCAGUAUUGGUGGCAAAGGAUGAAGAAUCAUAUUGUUGAGUAUGUUGCACGGUUUUUGAAUUGUUAGCAAGUGAACUACAAGCAUUAGAGACCUUGGGGUUUGCUUUAGAGGCAUUAUAUUUCGGAGUGGAAGUGAAAACGUAUCUUGAUGGAUUUUGUAGUUGGACUUCCACGGACCUUGAGAAAAUUUGAUGCAGUAUGGGUUAUUAUGGACAGACUGAGCAAGUUUGCAAAUUUCAUUAUAGUCGUGACUAGGUUACCAAUCAAAGCAUCCGGCUCAGAAUUACAUUCAUGAGGUUGUUCGCCUUCAUGGUAUGCUAGUGUCUAUUAUCUCAAAUUGAGGCACUCAGAUCAUAUCACAUUUUAAAGGCAGUGCAACGAGAGUUGGGUACUCGCAUCAAGUUCAAUAUAACAUUUCAUCCCCAGAGGGAUGGACAGUUCAAUCGCACUAUCAAGAUUUUGGAGGACAUGUUACGUGCCUGAGUUAUCAAUUUUGGGGGUUCAUGGGUUCAAUUUCUACCAUUGGCAAAGUUCGCCUACAGUAAUAAGUACAAGUUGCGUAUCAAGAAGGCUCCUCACGAGGCCUUAUAUUGGAGGCGGUGUAUCUCUCUAGUUGGUUUGUUUGAGUUGGAAAGGCUUGGUUGUUGGGCACUAAUUUGGUCCGUGAUGAUUUGGAGAAUGUUAAGUUGAUCUAGGAGAAGCAUCGUACAACACAGUCCAUGCAGAAGAGUUAUGCUAACAGGAGAGCUCGUGAUGGUACAUAUAUGGUGGGUGAGAAGGUAUUACUCAGAUUUUCCUUACACAGUCCAUGAAGAAGAGUUAUGCUAACAGGAGAGCUCGUGAUGUUACAUAUAUGGUGGGUUAGAAGGUUUUACUCAGAUUUUCCCCCACAAACGGUAUGAUGAGGUUCGGGAAGAAGGGCAAGUUGAGCCCUAGGUAUAUUGGUCUUUUUGAGGCGUAUAUAAGACUUCGAGAGGUGGCCAAUAGACUUGAAAUACCACCUAGUUUAUCAGAAGUUCACCCAAUAUUUUAUGUAGAUAUGCUCCACUAGUUUUAUGGUGAUCUGUCACAUGUUUUGGAAUUCAGCACGGUAUAGUUAGAUGGAGAUCUAACUUAUAAUGUGGAGCUUGUGGCCAUUUUUGAUAGGCAAACUAAAAAAUUAGGUCAAAGAAAAUUGCAUAUGUGAAAGUUUAUUGGAUAGGUCAGUAUGUCAAGGAGGCUACUUGGGAGACCGAAUAGGAGAUGUGAAUCUGAUACGCCAGGUAUGAUUCUAGACCCAUUCGAGGGCAAACGUUUGCUUAAGAAGGGAAAAAUGUAAUGAUCCGGCAUGUCGUUUUGAGUAGUUUAGCAUGGUUCCCCUUGUUUUAUGCCUUAUAAAUGUGUGUUAGUUGUUACUUGACUUUCCGGGGUGACUGGUUUAGUUUUGGGAAGGUUUAGGAGUAAAUUGGGACACUUAGUCGCAAGGUUGGAAACUUAAGUUGUAUAAGUUGAUCGGUGUUUGACUUUUAUGUAGAGCAUUGUGGAAUGGUGUUUUAAUUACAUUAAUAGCUUCAUAUGAUGAUUUUGGACUUAAGCAUAUAUCCGUAUUUAGAUAUGGAGGUCCGUAGGUUGAUUGAAUCCUUUUAGCGAAAGUUUAAACUAUUGAUGGCUUGGAAGGUUGAUAGGUUUGAACAAUUGAUGAAUUUGUUGAUAUAAAAUUCGGAUUUCAGUUCCUGGAGUUGUAAUAAGACCUUUAUCUCAUUUGAGACUUUAGUUCCUGGAGUUGUAAUAGGACCUUUAUCUCAUUUAAGACUUCGAUGUAAAAUAUAAGGUCAUUCCGGGUUGGUUUGAUGUGAUUCGACAUGAGUUUUAAAAAUUGGAAUUUCAUUAGUUUUAUUAGGCUUUAAUUGGAGUGAUGUUCGUGGUUUUGAUGUUAUUUUAUGUGAUUUGAGGCAUUGAGUAGGUGGUUAUGUAUUAGGACUUAUUGGUAUGUUUGGACAGGGUUCCUGGAGCCCUCGGGUGUGGCUUGGGGUUUCGGCUUAUUUUGGUUUGCGUUUCACUUGUUGAAGUAUGUCACAAUUGGUGUCAUCACAUCUAUGAACGCAGAUGCAAGUCCACAGAUGUGGUCAGGUUGUCACACAAGCAAAGUUGGUUUGAAGAGCAGGAGUUUGUAGAUGUAGAGUCUAAGCACAGAAGCAGGGUUCCUGGAGCCCUCUCAAGGUUGUUGUUUACCUUACCAGUGAUAAAGAAUGAUAUUGAUUUUAAUAAUUUGAGGUUUUAGAGUUUAUCUAAGAGCAAGAGAAUACGUGUUGGUUGAAGAAACACCAUUAAUGAGGGCUAUGAAGUUCAAUACUCAUUAAGUGUUUGAUAAAAUGCCUAAGUGAUUAAAACAUGAGCAUUAUUGCUAAUAUGGAAUCCCUUUGACUUGUGUUGAUAUAGCUUAAAGUUGAAAGGGCUGGAGAACGCUGUAUUACGCUCAAGAGUCGGAAGUCAAGGUAUGUGAGGCUAACUCUCUAUGUUUGGGAAUGUUAAUGAUUCUCCCUGCACUACGUUUCUAUUACAACGUUAUUAAUUGCCUCUGAAAUAUAGUUAAGCUUAGUUCCUUGUAUAGUUCCAGAACUUUUAUUCUCUAGCUUCAUAACGCGUUCAUGACUGUCACUCUAAACGUUACGAGCUUAAUGCGUAUUCAAUAUAGUCUUGGGUUUAAUUCUCCCGAGUCUCAGCAUAGAUUACUCAAUAUGUCAUAAACAAUUGAAGUUUCAGUGUUCGUAAUCAUUUCAAGAAUUCAUGUGUUAGUCUAGUCAUAUUCAGUAUCCAGUAUUAUGUAACUUAGUAUGAUUCAAUAUUCCAGUAUCAUGUAACUCAGUGUGAUUCAGUAUUUCAGUAUCAUGUAUUGCAGUAUGAUUCACAGUAUCAUGUAUUGCAGUAUGAGGCCGUAGUUAUGUAUACGUAUGCUUGAGACUGAGGCCGUAUAUUGUAUACAUAUUCCCUGAAUGUUGAACACUUGUAAUAGGGCCUGAGGCCGUAGUUAUGUAUAUGUAUGCUUGAGACUGAGGCCCUUUAUUGUAUACAUAUAUAUAUAUUGAGCCCAAGGGCAUAACUUAUUUAGAUAAACAUGUUGUUCAUCAUUCAUGAGAGGGAGUAUUCAUAUUCUUACAUCUUUUGUUCAACUCAAUUAUCAGUUAUCCGUUAUCAAUUUAUUUAUCUGUCACGACCCUAAACCCGGACCCGGUCGUGAUAGCACCGAUCAUGAAACAAGGACAGCUAACACAAACCCCAGUAUAAAUUUAACAAAUAUACUAAUAAUUCAAGCAUUAACAUGCUUUAAGUCCCAACAUAAUCGUGAAAUAAAACAAUUUGCAAAAAUAAUACAACCCGACAUCGGGGUGUCACCAGUCAUGAGCAUCUAAUAUAAGUGUAUAAGUAUGGAAAAGGACUAGACAGUCAACUAUAGAAUCCAUUACAAGGGCAAACAAAGAUAGGAGGGAGAAACACUUGGUGGAAAAUGCUUAGCAGAUACCUAGUGAACUCCGAAUAGCCCGCUAGAAGCAAUCUGCCCUCACUAGCAGGACUGGAGGCUCCUGUAUCUACACAAAGGGUGCAUGGAGAAAUAUGGGUCGGCCAACUUAGUGAGUAAUAAAAUUAAAAGCUGCCGAGCAAUAUGAAAACACAUAAAACACCGCAAAAUGCUACAAAGAGGCAGUAUAAAAGUCAAUGCAAUGCAAUAAAUAAUGAAAACUUUUAAAAACACCUUAGUUUAGUGAAAGCCUCUUUAAAACAUCUUCUAACAGUUAAACAAGUGAAGGAAAAGCAACGAGAAAAGAUAAACACAUAAAAUCAGCCCCUUUGUCACAAUAUCAGCAGAAUCUUCCCCUCGGGCAAUAGUAUGAAUUAACAUUAGCCCCUCGGAAAUAACAUGGAAUAACAUCAGCUUCUCGGGCUAUAUUACAUAUCAAACUGGGCACCCACGCUCACUGGGGGUGUACAGACUCCGGGAGGGGCCCUUUACCGCCCAAGCGCAAUAUUAAGCCAUCUCGUGGCAUAAUCAACUAGGCUCUCGGCCUCAUAUCAAGCCACCUCAUGGCGUACAACUCAGGCCCUUGGCCUCAUAAUCAUAAAUCAAUACAACACUGUUGCGGCGCACAACUUGAUAAACAAUAAUUCCUCACAACAUAGGCCCUUGACCCUACUCAAUCAGAAAUCUCUAAAAGCCCCUCAAGCAUAGUAAAAUAUGAUGCUCAACUCAAAGUAUCAUUAAAUAUGUUAAAAUAGAGUAAACAUGGCUAAGUUAUGAAAACAUUAGAAAAUAGCAUGACUGACUAUAUAUAUAAAAUCAAAACAGCGAUGACAUAGCAUUAAAAAUCCUCUAAGGGUCCAAACAGUUGGCACGAGGCCCAAAUAUGACAUUCAGCCCAAAACAUGGUGAUAGAAAAAAAAUUUCAAUCAAAUACGCGGUAAAACGGUCAUACGUGACAGACUAAGAUAUGAUCCCCAAUGGUGCAUGACCCCACGCUCAUCAUCUAGCGUAUGCGUCAUCUCAAAAUAACACAAAAUUGCGUAAUCCAGGGUUUUAUACUCUCAUGACAACAUUUACAAUUAUUACUCACCUCUAUUUGGUCCAAACUCUAGCCCACGAUGCCCUUGCCUCGUAAUCCAGGGUUUUAUACCCUCAUGACAACAAUUACAAUUAUUAAUCACCUCUAUCUGGUCCAAACUCUAGCCCACGAUGCCCUUGCCUCUCGAAUCGGCCUCCGGAUGCUCCAAAUCUAACCAAAAUCAGUACAUAACCAUCAAAAUAUGCUAAAGGAACAAAUCCCACUCGAAAUAAAUCAAAUUACAACACAAAUCCAAGAAUUAACCAAAACCCGACCCCCAUGCCCAUGUCUCAAAAUUUGAUAAAAAUUACAUCAAUAAACUCCUUAUCCUCCCAUGAGUUCAUCCAUAUCAAAAGUACAAAAAUCCGGCUACAUUUGACCCCUAAAACCCUCACGCAAAGGUCUCCGACCUCAAGCCUAGUUCCCAAUCUUCAACACUUAAUUUCCAUUAAAUUUAAAGCCAAAUCAGUGAAAUAACACCAUAGAAGUGAGUUUAGGUCCAAAAGCCUUACCUUUAUAAAAUACGCUUGAAAUCCUUCUUCAAAUAGCUCCCUCAAUCUCAAACCCGCAUGAAAAUGGUGAAGAAUAACUCAAAAAUUAUGAAGGAAAUCUUUUGUACUUUCUGACCCAGGCUUUUGCACCUGCAUUCCCAUUGCCGCUUCUGCGGUCCAAGACUCCGCAUCUGCGAUUUUCACUUAAGAGCUCAUUUCUGCAUUGGUAAUGCACAGUCGCACCUGCGUCAUCAGGGUGCGCUUCCUAAGCUGCUCCUGCGAUUCCAGCUGAUACCCCCUUGGCCGAAUCUAUUGCUUACUUCCGUAUCUGCGGGGGUCGUACCUGCGGCCUCGCAAUCACAGAUGCGAUUAUGACAGGAGUCCUAAAACUUCAGCUACAAAAAACCCAACUGAAAUCUUCUACCAGCCAUAUGAAAGCACCCUGAGGACCCCGGGACCUCAAUCAGCACCAACAAGCCAUAUACUACUGUUCAAACUUAUACCAAUCUUCAAAAUGCCUCAAACAAUAUCAGCUUAGCAAAAACACCUCGGAUUCAAGCCUAAGUUUCCCAAAAUCUUCUGAAUUCUGCUUUUGAUCGAAAAGUCUAUGAAACCACGUCCGAAUGACCUGAAAGUUUGCACAUACAUCUCAAAUGACUAAACGCACCUAUUGCAACUCUCAAAAUCCCAUUCCAACCCUAUGUCAAAAUCUCAACUAUCAACCGAAAACGCCAAAAUUUUAAUUUUGCCAAUUAAAGCCUAAAUCUAAUACGGACCUCCAAAACACGCUCCGAUCAGACUACUAAGUCUCAAAUCAUAUCCUAAAGCUUUACAAACCAUUGAAAUUCACAUCUGAGCCCCUUUUCACAUAUGUCAACAUCCAAUUGACUUUUCCAACUUAAGCUUACUCAAAAGAGACUAAGUGUCUCAAACCUUACCAAAACCAUUUCGGAUUUAAACCGACUAAUCUGAUUCCACUAAACAUUGAUAAACAAAGAAUAAAGGAGUAGAAUUGGGGAAAUCAGAGCGGUAACUCAUGAAAUGAUUAGCUGGGUCGUGACAUUAUCUAUUAUCAGUUCAGUUAUCAGUUAUCAUUUUAGUUAUCAUCUUAGUUUUAGUUUCAGCAUUUAUAAUUCUUUCUUUCAGUUACUUUACAUACUAGUGCAAUUCAAAUGUAACGACGUUCCUUUUUCCCGAGACCUGCAUCUCACGAUGUAGAUAAUGAUUUACAGGUUGACGAUUCAGAGCGAUAGGAUUCUCGUACCGGCUAUUUAAUGAUCCGCGGUUCUUUUGGGACAUUAUCAUUACCUUAUUGUCUUAACUAUUUUCAGAUAGUCAGUGUUUUUAGUAUUUCAUUAGAGGCUUAACAGUCUAGAGUAACAGUUAGACAAAGUCACAAUAUUUUCAAGUUAUGCAAUAUUGGCUACAGAUAUGUUUCAAACUUGUAUUGGUGUUUCCACACUUUGAUUUUUAUAAUUCAGACUUUCAGUAUAUCAACAUCUGUUAGUUUAUCUUCCUAUUUAGUAUGUUAUGAUAUCAUAUGUUGAUUUAGCUUGAUAGUUAGUUCGCUCGGUCAUAUAUAGUUAUGCAUUAAAUGUCGUGUUGCAUCCAUCCCCAGGUUCGGGGCGUGAGAUCUGGAUAGACUGACCAAGUCAUCUAAUUUCCUUUAUGUGAUGAAUACCUACUCAUCCGAGCAGCUGGAUCAGGCUUAUAUCUGUGAGAUUGUCAGACUUCAUGGUGUGCUAAUAUGUAUUAUCUCUGAUGGGACUACCUGCUCAUCCGAGCAGCUGGAUCAGGCUUAUAUCUGUGAGAUUGUCAGACUUCAUGGUGUGCCUAUAAGUAUUAUCUCUUAUGGGAGUACUCAGUUUACAUCACGAUUUUGGAGGGCCGUACAGAAGAAGAGGUUAGGUACUCGGUGGAGUUGAGCAUAACAUUUCACCCUCAGACUGAAAGACAGUUUGAGUGCACUAUUCAGAUUCUAGAGGAUAUGCUCCAUACGUGUUUGAAAGAGUUUGCAGGAUCUUGCGAUCAGUUCUUGCCCCUUGCGGAAUUUGCCUACAACAACAAUUAUUAAUCCAGCGGUCAGAUGGCACCAUAUGAAGCUCUAUAUGGUAAGCGGUGUCGGUCUCCAAUGGGUUGAUUCGAGCUGAGCGAGGCCAGAUUAGUAGGUACAAACUUGGUUCAAGAUGCCUUGGAGAAGGUUAAGGUGAUUAAAGAUAGACAUUGCACAUCCCAAUCUAGAUAGAAGAGCUAUGCGGAUCGGAAGGUUCACAAUAUUUCAUUCAUGGUUGGAGAGAGGGUCUUGCUCUAGGUUUUGCCUAUGAAGGGCAUUGUGAGGUUUGAAAAGAAGGGCAAGCUGAGCCCAAGGUUCGUUGGUCCAUUUGAGGUGUUGUGGAAAGUUGGGGAGGUUGAUUAUGAGCUUGCCGUUCCUCCGAGUCCAGUAGGAGUUCAUCUGGAAUUUCAUAUUUCUAUGCUUUGGAAGUAUCAUGGUAAUUCAUCUCACGUGUUAGAUUUCAGCUCAGUCCAAUUGAACAUGUAUCUAUCUUAUGUUGAGGAGCCACUGGCAAUUUUGGAUAGGUAGGUUCGAAAGCUGAGGUAAAAGAACAUUGCACCAAUGAAGGUUUAGUGGAGGGGUCAGCCAGUCGAGGAGGUGACUUGGGAGAACGAGCAAGAUAUGCACAUCCAUUAUCCUCAUCUUUUCACCUCUUCAGGUAUGACUCUAUGCUCAUUUGAGGACGAACAAUUGUCUUAAGAGGGGAAAGAAGUAACAACUCGGUCGGUCGUUUUGAGAGUUAUGGCCUCGAUACCCUAUUAACUGCUUCUCCUGUAUUUAUUUUUGCUAUUGUAACUUGCGGGGAGGUUUCAUUUUUAUUUUUGGAAUGUUUUGGGACACUUAGUCCCUAAACGGAGAUUUAUGUCUUAGGAUUUGGACAUUAGUCAGACUGUGUGAAGACAACUCUGGAAUGGAGUUUCGUUGGUUCUGUUAUCUUCAUUGGGUGAUUUUGUACUUAGAGGCGUGUCUGGAUUGUGUUUUGGAGGUCCGUAGCUUAUUUAUGCUUAAAAUGGUGAAAGUUAAUUUUUUUGAGAUUUGGACCGAUAGUGAAAUUUUUUUUUUCGGGGCCGGAUUAUGAUUUUGGAAGUUGGAUUAGGUCUGUAAUGUUGAAUAUUACUUGUGUGCAAAAUUAACAGUCAUUCAGACGUGGUUUGAUGGGUUUCGAUAUCAGUUGUAAAAAUUUAAAGUUUCAAGUGCUUUAAGUUUGAUUUGGAGGGUGAUUCAUGAUUUUAGAAUUGUUUGAUGUAAGUUAAGAUCUUGACUGAGUUCUUAUGGUGUUUAUGAUUGGUUCGUAUGGUUGGUUUAUGUCCCGAGGGCCUAGAGGCGUGUCUGGAUUGUGUUUUGGAGGUCCGUAGCUUAUUUAUGCUUAAAAUGGUGAAAGUUAAUUUUUUUGAGAUUUGGACCGAUAGUGAAAUUUUUUUUUUCGGGGCCGGAUUAUGAUUUUGGAAGUUGGAUUAGGUCUGUAAUGUUGAAUAUUACUUGUGUGCAAAAUUUGAGGUCAUUCAGACGUGGUUUGAUGGGUUUCGAUAUCAGUUGUAAAAAUUUAAAGUUUCAAGUGUAUUAAGUUUGAAUUGGAGGGUGAUUCAUGAUUUUUUAGAAUUGUUUGAUGUAAGUUAAGGUCUUGACUGAGUUCUUAUGGUGUUUAUGAUUGGUUCGUAUGGUUGGUUUAUGUCCCGAGGGCCUCGUGUGAGUUUCAGGUGAUUAAUGGAUCAAAAGUUGGAUUUGUAUUGUUGCUGAAGUCUUUAGGCAUUUGCUGUUUUCACACCUGCGGUGGCGAGACCGCUGGUGCGGGUUCGCAUAUAUGGAGAGUCAAGAGCAGUAACAGAUUUGGAAGGCAAGGUCAGGGGUCAUAGGUGGGAGGAUGAUGUCGAAUCAGCAUUUCCCGCAGAUGCACUGCAGGACUCGCAGAAAUGGAAGGAGAUCGUAGAAGCGGUCACGGGUCCGCAAGUGUGCACACGUAGGUGCGAUCCUUUAAUCGCAGAAGCGGAUGCUGGAUUUCUAAGUGGAAAUCGCACCUGUAAUGUGUCACACCUCCGUUUUCACCACAUCCGUGAGGGCAUAUAAGAGUUUUUCACAUUAAAGAACAAUCAGUAAAAUAUUAAAUUAUUAAAGUUCAGAGUCGCCACUUAGGAGAUUAAUGGUGUCCCAAGUCACCGGUCGAAUCCCGAACCGACAAAAAUUUGACUCUGUAUUACAAUCCACGAAUUAGCGGCAUACGAGCGUGACUGAGAUCGAGCCUCAGCGAAAGUGCUGCACGGUGUUUAAGGCAAUUCGAUAGACACUUCGCAUUCGAUAUUAUUCCAUUCUUUAUCCUACUUUAAGUAAACAAGCUCACUUAAUUAAUUUUCGUUGAACUCUUAGAAACCACUAUGUGAAAAGCAAAUUAGAAGCAUUAAUUCAACUAACAAAAGUAGGCUGGUUACCUUGGCAGUAAUCACUGAGCCACACAAAAUUAAUAUUAAUAGCAGCGGCAUGAAACUAUCCUAAUCACUGAAGCUGCAGUUAAGCAAUUACGAAAUUAAACCAUCCACAGUAGUCUGACUACACACAUCCAUACUCAAAUCAAGUUGUCGAUCUAAUCUACAACUUGACGAGGAGGUGAAAUACAAAUUCGAUAAUUAUGCAACCCACAUACUCUAAUCAAAAGAAAUACAAACUUAAGAACCAACUAAAAAAUCCCUUCCCCUACAUAUCAAUUAUAACCAAAUGGUUAUUUUUGUAAACGUGACCACUUUCCAAUUUCACAUGAAUUUUAAGGUCGGGGGGAUUAUUUAAUGACACUUCACAAACUUGUCCGCUCUUUUACGAAAAUAGCCUUUCGACAACUAAAAGAUUCUCUAGGGCUAUUUCGGCAAGAACGGGUUAAGAAGCCGCUGAAGUUGGAUCGACUUAUUUUGACCAAAUAUCCAAAUGGUAUUCAGUUGACCACUGACUCUUUUCUUGUUUUUUUUUCUAAUUAAAAUAAAAGCCCCGGUAUUGCGGACACGACCUUUCAGCUCCUCGGGGACGAAGAUUUAAGACUGUGAGGGUCAUGACAAAAGUGGUCGUUCAUGCAAAGUUAGCCUUCCGGUGUCCCUUUUGGGAACAUUCGACUAUUUUUGACAACAAUGACUGCAUUUGACUUAUUUAUGACGAAAAUUAAAAUUUUGAUUUUUUUUGCUAUUUUUGCAAAGGGGAGGUUCGACCCGAUGAGGGUUGCCUACGUAUCUCACGCCCUGUGAGAAUCAAACCAUGCGUAGUUCGGCAAAUGAAACGAACUAUUAUAAAAUAAGACUCUUUUUUAUUUCACUUUUGGCAUUUCAUAAGCACAUAACAAAACUACUUUCAAAAGCACGACUCUUUUCAUUUUUGGCAUUUAACAAACAAAUAAAAUAAAAAAAUAUUUUAAAAAACAAGGCACUUUUUUCAUUUUCAUUUUUCUUUACAACAAAUGACUCACGACUACACUGGCCACUCGACUGUCUCUUUAUCUCGAAAUUCAAUUGACCUUUAACAGCGUUUGAAACCUCAGUUGUGGUCGAAACACCAUGAGGGAGGCUAAGGAAUUACAUGCCCUGAAUUUGAGGGGAUUUUGGGAAGUUUAGGUUUUGGUCGGAAAAUACUAAAAUGCAAAUUCGAGCCGCUCCAGCAAGAUUCGAGGGAUGCAGCUAUGAGAGUUGGGUAUAGGACGCCUUGGAGGUUCUGUGGUGUAAAUUCCCGCUCUAGCAAGAUUCGAGGGAUGCAGCUAUGAGAGUUGGGUAUAGGACGCCUUGGAGGUUCUGUGGUGUAAAUUUUGGGCCGUUUGGCAUAACUUGUAUCAUGGUCAGAAAAUCUUUGAUGGGAUAUUCGACAAGAUAGGGCAGGAUUUAAAGGAAAUGGCUAAUGGAUUUAUGACGGGGAAGAUGAGAGGAAUUUAUGGUGUUAUUUUGGAGUGAAUAUACAAUGGUUCCAUUCACCCACGGUAGGGUUCUAGCGAGGUGCAGAGAACGUGUACGAGGAAGAGGGUUAUGGCUUCUAACUUUCUAAAAGAUGCUCGACUAUUUUAUUUAAUUGACCAAAUUGAUCCUCAGCCGCUGGAUUGGGAUAAUCGGACAGCUGUGAUCAAACAAAACGGUGCGACGUCGUUUUGAUGGAGGACUUGGACCGGGCAAGGUGCUCUUUGAGCCGGGGAUGUGACGAACUAAAAUUGGGCCCGAAAAGACUAGACACAGAUGGCCCGAAUUGCAUUAACCCAUUCCUUUUAUUAAAAACCCUUUUGCUUUCUCUUUUGCCUUAAUUUCUUUUGUUUUCCAAUUGUAUUUUUUUCCUUUUUUAUACUAAAAACCCUUUUUCUUUCUCUUUUACCUUUAUUUCUUUUAUUUUCCAUGUUAAAAGUUGUAAUUUUUUUCCCUUUUUAUACUUUUAUAACGAUAAAAAAAAAAUUAAAAAAUGAAAUUAAAUCCUAAGAUUAAACUAUCUAAUCCCCUUAAAAUUAUCUAAAACUAUUUUGUCAAAAAAUUUCAAUAAAACUACAAAAUGAACUAUUUUGUUAUUUCUUUAUAUUUGUUCCAAAACAAAUUAACCCCUAAUUAAUACUAAAAUACGAAUUUAAAUCCUGAACUAAUGCAAAGUAUUUUUGGUUUUUUCAUAUGAAUUAACAUGCGUGAAUAAAAUGCAACCAAUUAACACAAAAUUAACGAAAAUGUAAAAAUAAGGAAAAAAAUUUUGUUUGCGUGAAUAAAAUGCAACCAAUUAACACAAAAUUAACGAAAAUGUAAAAAUAAGGAAACUUUUUGUUUGGAAUUUUUGGGAAUAAUUCAUAUGUAGGACAAAAAUCAUGUGAUCACAUGAUGGAAAUUCCGCAUGUGCGAUGGAUGGUGCGCAUGUGUAGAAUAACUGGGUAGAAAAGGGUUAAGUGCGAGGGUUUGAUUUCAUUCUCCAUUUGGACCUAGAGAGCACAGAUUAAGGCGAAAUUUCGAGGAUGAUUUUAUCAUCUAAUUUAGGAAUUUGGUUGAGAAAUUUAUGGAAAAAUGGUAGAAGUUCUUCAACUAAGAUUUUUGUUUUUGAUUGAGAUUUUACAUCGGAUUUGGAUGAUUUUUGUACGAGUCAACUCGUGAGUGAAUGGGUGUUCAUAUUUUGUGACUUUUAUUCGAUUCCUAGACGUGGGCAUUUUAGGGCAAUUUUUGAAUUUCUUGUAUAAGCCUUGAUUUCAUUAAUUAGAUUAAGUAUAUAAAAGUUGUAUUUAUUAUACGCAAUUGCUUUUGGCUAGAUUUGGGUCAUUCAGAGCCGGAUAUUCGUUGGAAAGGCAUUGUGAUUGACUGAUUGAGCUUGGUUCGAGGUAAGUGGCUUGCCUAGCCUUGUGUGAGGGAACUCCCCUUUUGAUCCAGUACUAUUUGAUAUAUGAGCACCGUGUACGUGAGGUGACGAGUGUGUACAUGAGCUAUUUAUUGAAAAACUCCAUUUUCAUUAAGUAAAAUAUUUGUUGUCCUUUAACUGAGCUACGCUAGCGUAUGUAAUUAUCCUAAUAAGUUUAGAAAAGCAUGUCUAUGUGUCUUAUUACUUCUCUGAACUCUAUGUAGCAUGCUUAGUUAUAAACUUCCUGCUUCUUCGUCGACUUGCACUUUGUCUAAAUCGUAGGAUUUCCGUGUUUUAGUUUUAAUACUAUUAAAAUUCCUUUUUCUUCGUUGAGUUGCACUUAGUAUAAAUCGUAGAAUUUCCGUGUUUUAGUUUUAGUUCUAUUGUUUGAGUUGCAUAUUCACUUUGGGACUAUAAAAUAGAAUUGUGGGAGAUCCCCAUGUGCUGCAUAUUAACUUUGGGACUACAAUGGUAUUCUGGGAGACCUCCCUGUACUGCAGUUACUUUGGGACUACGAAACGGUAUUCAGAGACACCCCCUUGCAUAUUUAUGUUUGGGAAUACGAAACGGUAUCUCAGAAGAUCCCCUGUUAUUAUCUCAGUGUACUGAGUUGUUACCUUUAUAUGGUUUCAUUCUCGUUAGACUUCAAGUCUUAUAUACUACGAUAUUCUAUCUUGUCCUAUUUUUUAUAUCUCGUUAGACUUCAAGUCUUUAUUUUACUACGAUAUUCUAUCUUGUCUUAUUUUUUUUUAUAUAUAUAUAUAUAUACUAGUACGAGCCUGACAUGACUUCGUCACUACUCGACCGAGGUUAGGUUUUACACUUAUUAGGUACCGUUGUGGUGUACUCAUGCCCUUCCCCGCAUAUGUUUUUUUUGUGUGCAGAUUCAGGUACUGCCUAUCAGUCACAUUAUCAGUGAGUCGAGACAACUUUAGAGACUUUAAGGUAUAUCUGCCGCAUUCGUAGACCUCAGUGUCCUUUUCUACUAUUCCCCAUGUCAAACACUUUCUGUAUUUCAUUUUGUUAAACUCUGGAAUAUAGAGAUACAAUUUUCUUUCCCACCCUUGCUCUUGGGGAGACUCAAACUCACAACCUCUCGGUUGGAAGUAGGGGUUUCUUACCAUCAAAGCAACCCCUCUUGUCUAACCACGAGUAAAGUUCAAUUGUCACAAAAUUAACCCGAUGGACUUGAUGAAACUGAUGAUGAGUGACUACAAAGUGGAGAUGAUUAAUGAAAUACAAGAUGCGAGGGUAGUUAGUGUUAUAGCUUCUGUAUCAUUUUGUUGGUAGAAUAUAAAUCUUGCAUUUCAUCGUUGAUUAUAUAUCUCGACCUUUUAGUCACACGCAUCAUCAGUUUCAUCAAGUCCAUAAGAUAAAUUUUACUAGUGUUUGCUGAUCAAAGUUCACGAGACUUCAUCGUAAUUGACAUCCUCCUUCUCAUUAUUGUUGUGAGUUCUCUUCAUCUAACAACCACUUAAAUUGUGUUGAGGAUGAAUGAUUGGUAAAGAUUGAGCAAUUUAUAUAGGAGGGAGCCGUCAAGGGUUUUUUAAUUUCUUUCUUUUUCUUAUAAUUAUUAAAAUGAAAAAGUAUAAGAGUAAUUUAUAUAGGAUGGAGCCGUCAAGGGUUCUUUAAUUUCUUUCUUUUUCUUAUAAUUAUUAAAAUGAAAAAGUAUAGUAAGUUGUUAAUAAAGGUAAGAUAAUUGGCAUAUUGUUGAACUUAGGAAAACAAUUUGUAAGUUGUUAGGAGAUUUAGAAAAAUCAGAAUUAUGGAAUUCUUUUUGAAGUCUUUUGUUACAUAAAGGGAUCUGGAAAAAAAAAGGGGGAAAUGAUAGUGAUUUAAGAACGUAUUUCCAAUGUAAUAGCUGCAGUUAGAAAACAAACAAACCAAAAAGGAAUUAAGAGAUGAAUAACAAGGAGAAUCUUGUAUAGCUCAAAAAUUAUACUCGCAUUUUAUAAGCUUAAAAACAAUAAAAAAUGUAUAAGAGCAAAUCAUAAUCAAAUAUAAUGAGCCUUAGAGAUGAUUAUUGUGUUAACAUCGUUGUAGAUCUGAAAGUGUGAAGAAAAUAAACUUAGCUUAAGAGAAGACCAUUAGUUAGAGACCAAAAAAGAGAUAGAGAUAGAGAGAGAAGUUGCAUUAUUCAAGAAUAAUCAUGCCCCCUAUUACAAUGAAGGUGUCCUUUAUAUAGUAGGAGACCUUCUCCGAAAUAAUCAAAUAGUACACAAGUUAGUUGCUUCCACUCAGUAAAUAAGCAAGACCCUAAACAACGUCGCCUUUACUUUAUCAACUGUGCCGUACCCUCACUUGGGUGGACCUUAUCAAGUAAAGAAGCAAGACCCUAAACAACGUUGCCUUUACUUUAUCAACUGGGCCGUGCCCUCACUUGGGUCGACCUUAUCAUAAUGGACGUGCCCACUCGGUGUUGGAACAUUGAGAGCCAUAUUUUACCCUAUGUAGUUAUUCACUCCAUUUGUUGGAGAUGUGCUUCAUGAUCGUCUACAAUGGACAGACAUGCAUACUUCGUUUUUAUGGAAAUUUGGCCGCACCCAUAGGCGCCUCUUUCAAAUGAUAUGAGCAUGUGUAAUAUUGUUGAGCCGUUGACAUACAAGCCCUUUUCUAGAAUGACGUCACUGGUCACGUGCGUCAUCAUUAUACUUAUUCCCAAAAUGAUUCAGAUCAUGACAUGACGUUUUGAUUUCCUGCGUUAGUUUUUGAACUGUGCCUUUUCGAUUUUCGUGUACCUUACCCCUAUAAAUAGAGGAGUGGUUCAACUUGAUUCAUCUUUCGAACCUUUGGAGAGUAUCCCUUUAUUUUUUUUCUUUAUCUUUCUUUCUAGUAAUUGUUGCUUCAUUUCAUAACUACAAUUUCUGGGGAUUGUACCUCUUGUUGUUGACACCUUUCCUCAUAAAUUAUACCAUGGCGAAAUAUUGUCAGGACAGAAAAAGGACCACGGAUAAUGCCUCGAACUACAAUUUCUGGGGAUUGUACUUCUUGUUGUUGACACCUUUCCUCAUAAAUUAUUCCAUGGCGAAACAUUGUCAAGACAGAAAAAGGACCAUGGAUAAUGCCCCUUCUAGGGCUCCGCCUUCCUCCAAUGGUGAGGAGGAAGAAGUGAAGAAAACCCUCAUUCCCCAAACGGUGGAUAAUAUUAAUCCAAAAAACUUGAGUGUUCGAACUAACCUUAACUCGACGUCCCCCACUUUUCCUUGGGAGCAAAGAGAGUUAUUGCAGUUUCACCUAGAGAUAGCGCCCUUUCGACCUCACAGUAGGGAGCCGUGCCGGAGGUGACAUCUGAGGCGGUGCCUGAGGUGUUACCUAAGGUUCUACCAGUGACGACACCUGAGGCCGUCCUUGGAAUUGCGCCUAUGGCCGCUACAGCGGAGGUGACUUCUGAAGGCGAAGAGCCGCCAGAUAGAAAGAGGAGGUUGUACCAGUGACGACACCUGAGGCCGUCCUUGGAAUUGCGCCUAUGGCCGCUACAGCGGAGGUGACUUCUGAAGGCGAAGAGCCGCCAGAUAGAAAGAGGCGGCAACUAAUUACCAGCAAGGGAAUUGGGACUAGUGAUCCAGAGGCCUAGUGAGCCCCGCCGAGAGCCGAGGCUAGUUUUUAUGGUUGAGGCCAUACGUUCAGGAAGAUUGGCCCCUGGGGGAACAACCGCCGUUGUCCGUUUAUCCCGUGCCCCGGAAGGUGGGUCGUCUUCUGCAGUUAGGGAAACGGACGUUGAAAUUGAAAGGAUGGGCUUUGAGGCCGCUCUUGGAGAAGCAACGGGGGACUCAGCCCGCGUGGAGAUGAGGGUGGGCAGGUCUACCGUCGAAUUGUAAUCCCUGGCGGAUAUAAUUUGUUAGAAGACAUCGAGCAAGCCUUAGCAGAUAUGACCUUUUUAUAUGCGGUUGCGGACCAUGAAAUGCUGAAAAGUGUUAGUAAUAGGGAUUUGUCGAGGUGGAUCGCCAGUGCGGAUUUGGAGGUAUCUUUUAGUUUUCUUUUAUGAGUUGUAAAAGUGACUUUGGUACGUACUAACGUGUUUCCUCUCUUCUUUUCAGACCUCAUCUUGGAGGUGGAGAGGAGGUGGCGUGAAUAAAAGAAGGCAGCCACCUUCAAUAAAAUGGCAAAGAAACACAAGGAGUGCCGUGUCAAGCUUUACGAGCUGGCAAAUAUACUUAAGAAAGACCCUCAGUUUCGGAUAUUCCGUGAGGGUCUUGAGGAAUCAGAAGAUUUGUUGAAGAAGAGUGUGGCCGAGCUAGAGGAGGCUGACGAGCAGUGGAUGGCUGCUUCGGCUUGAAACAUCAAGCUGGAGACUCUUCUUCAAUCCAAAGAGGAGGAACUGGAGAUAAGCUGUGGGGUAGCGGCGGAGGCUGCGUAACUGCGGACCCAGAUCACAGUCUUCAUAGCCGAUCUUGAUGACAGGACGGUCGAGGUUGAAGGCUUCAGGCGAACUGCCCCAUAAGACGCUGCGAAUCGUGAUGCUUAUGAGAUGUGGGUGUACAAUGAUGCCAGGUUGGUCGUAUUGGAGGAGUACUUGGCGGCAGGUCAGGCUUCUGAGGAGAAUGUGGAAAGGCAACAACACUUAGCCCGUGUUGCCAGUGAAGCGGCCGGUUACAUCUCUGACUUGCUAGGUAUGGAGGGCUGUAACUCUGAGGACCUCAACCGUUUGGACUCCAGUUCAUGGAUUUCUACGACUUACCAGUCUAGAGAUGGCAAUGGACCCGAUGACGAUCAGGCGGGUCGUAAUGGACGGAGCGAUGAAGGCUCUUAAGACUUUGUAUAUAUAUUUUUGUGUAAAUGGGGACUUUUUCUAAGGUCAGAUGUAUGUAUACUUGUGGGGAUAAUGGAAUAUGACUUCUUGUUAUUGUUGUUCUUCUUUUGUUCCUUAGAGCUUUUAUUGCAUUUCUGAUUGAUGCUUUCGCGCUUUCCACCAUAUUUUAGGCUAGGUCGGCAUGGAGGGUUUCGAUCGUUGUCAAAUUACUUGUUUGUCAUAGCCGAACUGGGUCGACUACCGGCGUUGACGGCCUUAGAUGGAUUUUGAUUAACGACCUUAGUCUUGAUGGAUUCGACGGCUUUGGCCUUUGGCCAUAGAGGUGACUGUGCCUGUUAUCGAGUCACUUGUUUGUCGUAGUCGAAUCUAGGUUGGCUGUUGGUAGUGAUGGCCUUAGCCGUAUUAGAGUUGAUGGCCUUAUCCAUAAUGAAAUUGGGUUUGGCCAUAUAGGUGACCGACUGUCGUCGAGUUAUUUGCUUGCAUAGUCGAACUAGGUCAACUGUUGGCGGUGAUGGCCUUAGCCAUGAUGAAGUCGAUGAUCUUUGGUCAUAUCUUAUUGAUGGCCUUGGCCGUAUGGUUGAUUUCGACUAUCAUCGAAUCAUUUACUUCCGUAGUCGAACUAGGUCGACUGUUGGCAGUGAUGGCCUUAGCCAUGACGAAGUCGAUGACCUUUGGUCAUAACUUGUUGAUGGCCUUGGCCAUAUGGUUGAUUUCUACUUUCAUCGAAUCAUUUGCUUGCUGUAGUUGAAAUAGGUCGACUGUUAGCAGUGACGGCCUUAGCCAUGAUGAAGUAGACGACCUUUGUUCAUAACUUGUUGAUGGCCUUGGCCAUAUGGUUUACUUCGACUGACGUCGAAUCAUUUGCUUGCCGUAGUCGCACUCGGUCGACUGUUGGCAAUGACGGCCUAAGCCAUUUGCGCAUUGGAGAUGGCCAUAGCUAUUUAUAUAUUGUAGACAGUAAUAGAUAUUUAUUCAUUAGAGAUGGCCGUAGUCUUUCAUACAUUGGAGAUGGUUGUAGCCCUUCAUAUAUUGGAGAUGGCCUUAGCCUUUCAUACAUUAGAGAUGGCCUUAGUCGUUUAUCCAUUGGAGAUGGACAUUUAUAUACUGUAGACGGUAAUUGAUAUUUAUACAUUAGAGAUGGCCGUAGCCUUUCAUACAUUCGAGAUGGUUGUAGCCCUUCAUUUAUUGGAGAUGGCCUUAGCCUUUCAUACAUUAGAGAUGGCCUUAGUCGUUUAUCCAUUGGAGAUGGACGUGGCCUUUUAUGCAUUGGAGAUGGCCGUAGCCUUUUAUUCAUUGGACAUGGCCGUGGCCAUGUAUACAUUGGAGAUGUCCGUAGCCUUUUAUACAUUGGACUAUGUAUUGGAGAUGGCCGUAGCCUUUUAUUCAUUGGACGUGGCCGUAGCCUUUUAUACAUUUGAGAUGUCCGUAGCCUUUUAUAUAUUUGACAUGGUCGUAGCCUUUUAUAUAUUUGAGAUGGCCUUAGACUUCCAUACAUUGGAGAUCAAGUUAGUCCAGACCCUUUAUCAUGUCGGCCUGGAGGUCGUAUGGAGAGGAUGAUAUGGUAAACUUGUGCCGCAAAUAUUUCCAAGUGCCCCCUUUGCCGCCUUAUUAAAAACCUUCCCGAGAAAACCUAAUUGGGACAAAACUCGGGUAAGGGAAAAAUAGUAAGACUCGGGAGACGCCUUUCAAAAGUGGAAAUACUUGAGGUGGGCAACGUUCUAGUUGUUUUGGAGCGUUUUUUCCUUCCAUUAUUUCCAACUGGAAUGCUCCUUUGCUAGCUACUGUUGUGAUUUUGUAGGGUCCUUCCUAGUUUGUGACCAAUUUUCCUUCACUUGGGUCUUUGGAUGCCAAUGUCUUGGCAUUGAGGACGCAGUCUCCCACUUUGAGUGGUCUUAUCUUCGCCUUCUUGUUAUAGUAUCUUUCGACUUGCUAUUUUUGGGAAACCAUUCUAAUGUGGCCCAUUUAUCUUCUUCCCUCGGCUUCAUUGAGGUCUUGGAACCUGUUUGUGUCAUUUUCUGGUCCACUAUUGUGUGAAUACCUUAGGCUUGGUUUUCCGACCUCGUUAGGUAUGAUCGCGUCGCUUCCGUGGACUAGCGAGUACGGUGUUUCCCCUGUGCUAGAUUUGGGUGUAGUAUUGUGCACCCACAACACUUCGGGUAGCAGCUCGGGCCAUAGACCUUUAGCAUCCUCGAGCUUCUUCUUCAAUAUGUUUAAUAUUUCUUUGUUGGAGGAUUCUGCCUGGCCAUUAGAGGCAGGGUGAUAUGGUGCGGAAAGUAUCCUCUUGGUGUGCCAUUUCUCGAAAAAUUCGGUCAUUUUCUAACCGAUGAAUUGUCGUCCGUUGUCACAAAUGAUUUCUUUGGGGACGUUCAAAUGACAUAUAAUAUUUCUUCAUAUGAAGGAGAUUACCUCCGAUUUGUGCAUUUGUGGGUACGUGCCUGCUUCCACCCACUUAGAGAAAUAGUCAGUUAAAACUAGUAAAAAUCGUACCUUUCCUCAUCCUAUGGGUAGAGGGCCGACUAUUUCCAUUUCCCAAUUGAUGAAAGGCCAUGGAGAGGACACUGAAUAUAGGGGUUCUCCUAGUUGGUGUAUCAUAGGGGCGUAUCUUUGGCAUUGUUCGCAUCGGCGAACGUAUUCUCUUGCCUCCUUCUUAAUGGUGGGCUAGUAGUAGCCGACUCGUAUGAUGCAUCGCAUGAGGGAGCGGUUACCUAUAUGGGCGCCGCAGUGGACCUCGUGCCCUUUUUCGAGUACCGACCUUGUUUGGUGUGGCCUUAGGCACCUGCCAAGGGUCCGCCAAACAUUUUUUGUAGAGAUCAUUGUUUAUUAGGAAAUACCGAGCAGCUUGCCUGCGGAGUUUCUUUGCCUCUUAUUUGUCGAGUGGUAGCAUUCUUUCAUGCAGAUAGGAUACAAACUGGUUGCGCCUGUCCCAAGUCAAAUUUAUCGAGAAUACCUUAGUGUGAUCAAUAGCAGAGUGGAGGAGGGUAACCACGCUUUCUUUGUUGAAGUAAUUAGUGGCUGUAGCUAGCUUUGGUAGACCGUCUGCAGCAAUAUUUCAUGCCCUUGAAAUCUGUUCGAGGCGGCAUUCAUCAAACUCAACCACUAACUUGCGGAUUUUUGAUUGGUGUUUUUGUAAUAUUUGUUCUUUGAUCUGGUAAGUCGCAGUGACUUGGUUUACUACGAGUUGGGAAUCGUAGUGAAGGAUGAGUCGACGAGCCCCAUAUUUCAUGGCCAGUUUCAUACCUGCAAUAACGGCCUCGUUCUCGGCCUCGUUGUUUGUCAUUUCAGGGCAUCAUGUAGACUGGAGGAUCAUUUCACUAGUGGGAACCUCGAGGACGAGUCUCAACCCUGAUCCUGAUGUAUUGGCGGCGCCAUCAGUGUAGAGGACCCAUAAGUUGUAAUGCAAUAACGGCCUCGUACUCGGCCUCAUUGUUUGUCAUUUCAGGGAAUCAUGUGGACUGGAGGAUCAUUUCACCAGUGGGAACCUCGAGGACGAGUCUCAACCCUGAUCCUAAUGUAUUGGCGGCGCCAUCAGUGUAGAGGACCCAUAAGUUGUUAUUGGUGGAGGCAUGUUGUGCCUCAAGUUCUUCCUUUGGCGGGAUUUAUGCUCUAAUGUAGGCUAUGAAAUCGGCCAGAACUUUAGACUUGAUGGCGGUUCUUGGGAGAUACAAGAUGUUGUGAUCGCUGAGUUCAAUGGCCCAACUGGCGAGCCGACCUUAUAAUUCAGGAUCGUGUAACACACUUCUUAGAAGGUCGUUACCACUUAAAGUUUUGCUAACGUAAUAGAUAGGGGACUGUGUAACUUUACUUUCGUGAAUGAGGACGGCGCUGACAGCGACCUCAAACAAAGCCAGAUACACCAGCAGAGGUUCCGCUAGGCUCGCUUCGACUAGCAGGGGCAGCGAAGACAAGUACGCCUUCAACUUUCUCAAGGCUUCGACGCAUUACUCAUUCCUCUGUAGCCCUUGGUCUUUUCUUUCAACAUAUUGAAAAAUUUAUGGCACCUGUCACAUGACUUGAGAUGAAUCUGGAUAGGCUGGCUAUACGCCCUGUCAGCUUCUGUACAUGUUUCUUGCUACUUAUAACCUCAAGUAUUUCGUCUAUCGCAUUGAUCUUGUAUGGGUUGACCUGGAUGCCUCGUUGCAAUAUGAGAAACCCUAAGAAUUUUCCUGAGGCCACACCAAAGGCACAUUUCUCGGGGUUCAACUUCAUCCCGUAACUCCUUAGUAUCUUGAAGGCCUCUUUUAGGUGGCCGAUGUGGUCUUCUUUUAUUUCCAAUUUUACUAGCAUAUCGUCGAUAUACUCUUCCAUGGUCUUACAAAGUUGUUAUGUGAACAUCCUGGUGACCAAUCUUUGGUACGUGGCUCGUGAAUUUUCGAGCCCGAAGGGCAUUACCUUGUAGCAAUAUGUUCCCCGGUGGGUGAUGAAAGUUGUUUUUUGCCGAUCCUCCUCGGCCAUCACGAUUUGGUUGUAGCAACAGUAUUCGUCUAGGAAACUUAACAGCUCAUGCCCUACGGUCGCGUCUAUUAGCUGGUCAAUGUGGGGUCGUAAGAAAUAAUCUUUCGGGCAUGCCUUGUUCAAGUCGGUGAAGUCCACACACAUUUUCCACUUCCCAUUUUUCUUUUAACCAUGACAACAUUAGCGAACCAUAAAGGGUACUUUGAUUCUGUGAUGGAGCCCUUGGCCAGAAGUUUGUCCACGUCCUCGCUGACCGCUUCGUUGAUAGCAGUGUUGAAUUUUCUUCUCAUUUGGCGCAGGGGCGGGAUGGAGCCCUUGGCCAGAAGUUUGUCCACUUCCUCGCUGACCGCUUCGUUGAUAGCAGUGUUGAAUUUUCUUCUCAUUUGGAGCACGGGCGGGUGUAAUGGGUCAACGUUCAGCUUGUGAGUGGUGAUUUCUUGCGGGAUCCCUGGCAUUUCUGAAUGGGAAAAAGUAAUCAAGUAUGCAUGGUUAGAUAAAAAUUCAUGAUACUAACUCGAAUUUGAGAGGCCGUACCCGAUUUAGGCUUUCUUUGUAGGGUUGUCGUUUUCCAAUUGGACUAGGUUGAGGUCUUUGACUGUGGCCUUGCAGGCUUCUAUUAUAUCAAGGUCUCUAAUGGCGUGCUCUGUCGGGUAGACUUUAGUCCCUGACAUGGAUGAUUUGUAUGCAUCUGCGCUCGCCCCUUUAAGCUGUUUCGUGUGGACGCAGUCUUGAGCUAUUUUAUAGCAUUUCUGAGUGGUGCGAGGCUUGCCUCGAAUGCUGAAUACUCCCCACGGGGUGUGAAAUCAGAUCAUUUGAUAGAAGAUUUACGGAACAACUCUCAUGGGGUGUAUCCACAGGAGUCUAAUGAUGGCGUUGUAUGCCAUUUCCUGGUAUAUCAUGUGGAAUGUUAUUUCCAAAGUGACCCUUCCUGCUAGGACGGGUAGUGAUAUCUCCCAGAUGUUUGUUCUACUGCAUUAUUGAAACCAUUUAGUGUUAUGCAGUACGAUAUUACCUUAUCCUUGAGUCCCAUUAGUACGAGGACCCUCGGGUGGAUAAUACAGGCGCCACUACCAUCAUCAACCAAGAUUUUUUUUAUAUCCGUAUCUGCGAUACGUAAAGUGAUAGCUAAAGCAUCGUAAUGGGGGAAAGUCAAACCAUUGGCAUCAGAAUUAUCAAAGGUGAUUCUAUCUUCAAAGUCGUCACACUUUUAUAUCUGUAUCUGCGAUACAUAAAGUGAUAGCUAAAGCAUCGUAAUUGGGGAAAUUCAAACCGUUGGCAUCAGACUUGUCAAAGAUGAUACUGUCUUCGAAGUCGUCAUAUUGUUCGUGGGCGAUGGUUCGCUUCAGCUUGUGGUAGUGGUAAAUUUGAUGUGAUUGAUUGCCGAGUCAUUGCCAUCUUCGAUGAUCAUGUUGAUCAUAUGUGUUGGUUAAGGCGUCUUUGGUGGACCGUGGGGUUGCUCCCUUCCACAUACAAAGUUGUUUUUUCCUUUGUCACUAAGUAUCUCUUUCAAGAACCCUUGGUUCAACAUCCUGACCACCUCUUGCCAUAGGCCUAUGCAAUCUUCAGUUUUGUACCCUUGUUUCUGGUGCAACUCGCACAUGGCAUUGGAUUUUCUUGUGACGAGGUCUGACUUCAUCUUUGUCGGCCAUUACACCUUGUUGCCCAGCUUUCAAGUGCAUACUCUAUCUCUGAUGGGAAUACACAAAAGUUAUGGGCAGAUAAUAAGGUGGCAUACCUCUGUUGUUUCGUAAUGGAGUGACUUGUCGUUGUAGAGCGCCCGGGUGCCUGGUGGCGGUGGGUGACAGGAUCUGAUGUUGGGUUGGUGUCUCAGUGCAACUCGUACAUGGCAUUGGAUUUUCUUGUGACGGGGUCUGACUUCAUCUUUGUCGGCCAUUGCACCUUGUUGCCCAGCUUUUCAAGUGCAUACUCUAUCUCUGAUGGGAAUACACAAAAGUUAUUGUCAGAUAAUAAGGUGGCCUACCUCUGUCAUUUCGUAAUGGAGUGACAUGUCGCUGUAGAGCGCCCGGGUGCCUAGUGGCGGUGGGUGACAGGAUCUGAUGUUGGGUUGGUAUCUCUCCCUAUUGGGACGUGGGACUUGUUCCCUUCCCCCUUCGUUACGUUUGACCCCCCUGAUUUCUGGGUGUAUUAUUGAUAAACGUUGGGUCGACUCGUUCAGGUCGUCCUCAUCUGCACGUACCUCAGCACAGUAAGAGUUUUGGAUUUCUUCCCAUGUGGUGGGAGGAUACUUUAUGAGGCGACUUAGUAGUUUUUUGGUUGCCCUUGAGUCGUCCCUGCUUGACCCGUUCUGAAAAGCGACGACUGCCAUGCCUUCCAAUACGUUUGGUAGCCUCAUCCUUACUUUGUUAAACUUGGCUAAGAAGUCCCUGAGUCCUUAUCAUGUGGUUUGCCGAAUAGUGAAGAUGUAAUUGACUCUUGCUUCUGCUUUCUUUGCUCCUGCAUUGGUGGUGACAACUUGUCCUCUAUUUCCUCAAACGUAGAAAUGAUCUUUCCGAAUAGUGAAGAUGUCAUUGACUCUUGCUUCUGCUUUCUUUACUCCUGCAUUGGUGGUGACAACUUGUCCUCUAUUUCCUCAAACGUAAAAAUGAUCUUGGCCGUUAGCUGGGAGUACCAGGUUAGUGCUCCUUCUGUCAGUGUUUCGUCGAACUUCUUCAGCAGCAUGGGCGGUACAUGUUAUUUUGACAGGUCGUUACCUUUUACAGCCAUGACGUAGUGGAUCAGAUGAUCCUCGGGAUCUGUAGUUCCAUCAUACACUCUGAAAUAAGGAGGCAUUUUGAAGGUUUUUGGGAUGGAGUAGUANNNNNNNNNNNNNNNNNNNNNNNNNNNNNNNNNNNNNNNNNNNNNNNNNNNNNNNNNNNNNNNNNNNNNNNNNNNNNNNNNNNNNNNNNNNNNNNNNNNNNNNNNNNNNNNNNNNNNNNNNNNNNNNNNNNNNNNNNNNNNNNNNNNNNNNNNNNNNNNNNNNNNNNNNNNNNNNNNNNNNACGCUCUUCCGAUCUUUUAUCUGGUCACGAAGUUACUUGUUUUCAUUUUCCAUUUCAUCCAUCUUGUUGAGGAUGAUUGUGAGCGUGCCACCGUUGGCCCGAGUAUCGAUGAGCAUAUUUUUAGAUUGUACGCUCUCGGGUUCACCUUCAACUGCAGCAAGGUCUGCUGUUGGCACGCAUCUGAUGUUGUUUUGAGGAGACUAUUUAACCAAGCCACUUGGAAUACUCGUUAACCAUUCUUCCAGUAAUUUCAUGACCUCCGGGGGUUCUUCUUCAGUUGCAGCUGUAGAAGCUCCCUUUUCCCGCAAGAUCAUUAGCUCUUCAGGUGGGGGAGGUGGGAUUUCCCCGCUUGUUGUGGUGCUAUGGGUUGCAAUCAAAACACCCUCUUCACCGGCUUCGUUGAGAGGACCGAUGAGGUUGGUUGCAACAUUUGCUAUCAUUUUCAUUUUUGCGUUGUUGUCAGCCAUCUUUUGUUUGUGUGUUGUAGAGAAGGAUUUUCGAUGGUUCUCUAGGUGCAAGCUUUGGUUUUGAUUCUCGAAAUCCCCAUAGACGGGGCCAAGUUGUUUAGCUCAAAAAUUAUACUCACUUUAUAAGCUUAAAACUAUGGUUUUGAUUCUCAAAAUCCCCAUAGACGGUGCCAAAUUGUUUAGCUCAAAAAUUAUACUCACUUUACAAGCUUAAAAACAAUCAAAAUGUAUAAGGGCAAAUCGUAAUCAAAUGUAAUGAGCCCUAGAGAUGAUUAUUGUGUCAAGAUCGUUGUAGAUCUGGAAGUGUGAAGAAAAUAAACUUAGUUUUAGAGAGAAGCAAUAGUUGGAGACCAAGAACGAGAUAGAGAUAGAGAGAGAAGUCGUAUUAUUCGAGAAUAAUCAUGCCCUGUAUUACAAUGUGAAUGACUUCUUUAUUUAGUAGGAGAUCUUCCUCGAAAUAAUCAAAAAUUACAAAAGUUGGUGGCAUCCACUCAGUAAAGAAGGAAGACCCUAAAUGACGUCGCCUUUACUUUAUCAACUCGGUCGUGCCCUCACUUGGGUCGACCUUAUCAUAAUGGACGUGCCCACUCAACGUAGGAACAUUGAGAUCCAAAUUUUACCCUAUACAAAUCUAAAACACUUUAUUUUGUAUUAAUAGUUUCUAUCACUACAACUCUUUCUUUUUCUCUUUUCCUUUAUUUUCAUAUCUAUUCUUUAUGAAUAAACAAAGACAACAGUUUCAUGAAAUGAAGACUUUUUAUGUCUUACAUUUGAUUUAAAUGCAAAAGUUCCUAAAGCAGUUAAUGGCUACAAGUUGACUCGGAUGAGUUUUUUCUAUUAUUAUUAGGAAUUGUUUAAAUAUUCACGAUGGAGUUCAGUGGUCAAGACUCAGAUUGAAUAUUUACUCUUUAGGAAGUCCGAUAGAGGUAUUUGCGUGGAUUACAAGGUCAUUCCGAGUAAGAAUCUCUCGUUCCUUAAUAGGCUCCUGGACAUGGACCUUGAGAUCACGAGGAAGAGGGCGAUGUAUAGUCAACAUAGGAUAAAGUGGUGAGCCUUGAAGGAAGCUAAAACGCAAGAUCUGGGGGUCAAACUAGUGACUAUGGGGGCUUGGAGGAGUAGUGGGGACAUAAGAGCUAUGUGGACCACGACUAUGCAAUGCACUAGGAAAGCUGCGAGAGAGGUAUUAGGGGUUUCAAGUUGUAUUUUUCAAUAAUGACAUCAUCAAAAAUUAACCUAAAAGACACACAUUCUCUCAACACUUGUCUCGAUCCAGCUAAAUCCGUGUCAGUGAUGUCUAUGUGACUGUGGAUACAAAACCAUGCACAUUAUGGAUCUGAAAAUAAAAGAAAGAAUUAAAUUUUUGUUAAUGUGUUACUUUAAGAAACAAAUUUAUGUUCAUUGGCAGAAAGUGCUGUGCAAAAAAGAGCCCAGACAAGCACGGGGGCUCCAUAACCUAAGCACAUCAACAUUUACAAGGGUUAGAUAUUAAAGAACAAAUAGAUAUAACAUAUCAAUUAAGGAAAAGGCAAUGUAUUAAAGAUCUUACAAUUUGGUGACUCAUUGAUUCAAUUUGGAUAAAAAAACAUGAGUUUAUAUAGGAUACACAUGGAACCCCAUGGUAUCUGUUUUCCUUUAGUAAUUAAGUUGUUACCAACUUUACUAAAUCUGAUUUAGUUCCAACUGUAACAAAAAUAUCAAAAGUCUAUUUGGUGAAAGUAUUAAAAAUUGCAAUUUUGGUAAGAAAAAAAAGUCAUGAAUGAUAAAACUCAGACAAUUAUUUAAAAUGUAUCUUAUCUUGAAUAUGCGGUAUUAUUUAUCAAUAAGGUAAAAAAUCCAUGUAUUUUAUAGGUUUUUAGUUUUUUAGACCAAUUGUCACUUGCUUAGAUAACAGGCCCAGAAUAAGCUAUAUAUAGUGACUUUUAUUUAAUUCCCUUUCGUUUGGGGUUCGAGAAACUUUAUAUUAUGCAUUAUGACUUGGGUGUAGUUGGAUUUGACUUUUGAGAGAUUCGGAGUUGAUUUGGAAGAGUAAUUCUUAAUUCGGAAGUGUAGUUGGUUUUGACUUUUGAGAGGUUCAGAGUUGAUUUGGAAGAAUAAUUCUUAAUUCGGAAGCUCUAAGUUAGAAGAAAUGACCGAGAUUUGGCUUUUGAGUAAAGCACCUCGGAAUCGAGAUUUGAUGGUUUCAAUAGGUUUGUAUGUCGAUUGUGAACUUGGUGGUUUGUUCGGAUUUGAAAUUUGGAUGUUCCUAGAAGGUUUUGGCCCUAUUUGCCUAACAUUUGGCAAUUUGAAUAAUUGGAAAGUUCACAAGUGUGACCGCAAGUUGAUUUGAUGGUAUCAGGUUCGGAUUAUUGUUUCAAAAAUUAGAAUAUUUCAUUUUGUCAAGUGAAAUUUAGCAAGUAUGACCGCAAGUUGAUUUGAUGGUAUCAGGUUCGGAUAAUUGUUUCAAAAAUAAGAAUAGUUCAUUUUGUCAAGUGAAAUUUAAGUACAAAGUUUGGUUGUGAUCCGUAAUGUCGAAGUGUGAUUCAGACAAGUUCGGUGAUGUUUGAGUUUUGGAAAGUUAAGAGAAUGAUCUUGACCUUAGAUAUGUUGUUUUGAUGUUAAUUGCAGUGUAUAAGACUUUGGAUGAGUUUGAAUUAGGUAUAUGGAAUUAUUGGUAUGAUUGGACUAGAUCCCGAGGGGUUCGGGUAUAUUUUGGAUAGAUUUCCAACCAUUUUUGGAAUUGAGGGCACAACUAGUUUUGGUGCAUCGCACCUGCGAGAAUGGUUGCACAGAAGUGCAGUCCGGAUAGAUUUCCAAUCAUUUUUGGAAUUGAGGGCACAACUAGUUCUGGUGCAUCGCACCAGCGAGAAUGGUUGCACAGAAGCGCAGUCGCAUCUACGGUGCAUUGUGCGCAGAAGUGCAUGUUAGUCAAUCUGGGAAUGUGACGGGUGCAGGAAUUUGUGGACGCAUCUGCGAAGGAUGCUUGCUUUGUGAAUCUUGCUUAUAUUCCAUUUGGGGAGAUUCCAUUGGUAUCAGAGGUUGAGGCUUUGGCAAAUCAGUUUGUGAGGUUGGAUAAAUCGGAACCUAGUAUGGUUCUUGCUUGUGUAGUUUCACGGUCUUCUUUGUUCAAGCGCAUCAAGCCAUGUUAUAGUAUGAUGAUCCCUAUGUGCUUAUCCUUAAGGACACAGUGUAGGAGAGUGAUGCUAAAGAGGUUACUAUUGGAGAUGACGGGGUAUUAAUGAUGUAGGGUCGUAUUUGUGUUCCAAAUGCGGAUAGGUUGAGAGAGUUGAUAUUUGGGGCCCACAUUGCCGUUGGCAACGGUCCAGAUCCGUUGGCCAACGGAUAAUUUUGCAAAAAUGGCCAUUUUUGGUUAUUUUUUGUAUUUAUUAUUUGACAAUAUUAACCCUUCUUAAAAUCAAUAAAUACCCUCCCUUUUUUUUCAUUUCUUCACUCAAAAUUAUUAUCUCAAUCUCAAUUCUCAAAUUAUCAAUCUCUCUCUUCCCGUUUACAAUAUUAACCCUUCUUAAAAUCUAUAAAUACCAUCCCUUUUUCUUCAUUUCUUCACUCAAAAUUAUUAUCUCAAUCUCAAUUCUCAAAUUAUCAAUCUAUCUCAUUUUUAAAAUAUGUUUAGUGCUGCUAAAAGAGCGUGUAGAAAAGUUACGAGUAGGGGUGGAAAAAAAAAGGUAGUCCUGUAGCUUCCGGCAGUAAUAGUAAUGACCCAAUAACACAUGAUUCUGAAUCAUCGCCUAAUGAUAAUGUAGAGAUUGAUUAUGAACAAUUACAAGAAGAUUUUUGAAGAGAAGAUAAUGAAAUUGGAAUAGAAGAUGAGAUACCACCUACACCUAGUAGUGGAAAUGUUGGCAGUAUUGGAGUUGGAGUUGCUAGUGCUACAAGGGGUAGUAGACCACCAGUGGUAAAAGAAGAAGUCUGGUAUGGAAACUUUUUGAAAUAAUAGAAGGUACUAAUAGAGUUAAGUGCAAACUUUGUAACGAAACUUUUAAAUAUUUAACCGGAGGAAAUUUAAGGGGGACUGGGACACUUAGUAGAUAUAUGAGAUCACACCAUCCCAUAGAAUGGGGCAAUAAUGGGGAUGGAAGUCAAACAGCUUUUAACCCUACUACUGGAGGUCUAGUAAAAUAUGAUAAAAUGAGGGAUCGUGAGGAAUUAGCAAAAAUGAUUGCUUUGGGUUGUCUACCUUUUUCUGUUGCUUCUUCCUCUUAUCUGAGGAAUUAGUAAAAAUGAUUGCUUUGGGUUGUUUACCUUUUCCAAAUCCUUCUUCAUCGUAUCUUAUUAUGUAUAUUCAAAGGAUUUAUAAUCCUUUAUUUAAAGGUUGAGGAAUUAGCAAAAAUGAUUGCUUUGGGUUGUUUACCUUUUUCUAAUCCUUCUUCAUCGUAUCUUAUUAUGUAUAUUCGAAGGAUUUAUAAUCCUCUAUUUAAAGGUAUCGCUAGAAGUACUUGUAGAGCAGAUAUCUUUAUACUUCAUGGACAAUAUCAAACAUACAUACGUUAUUUGUUUAGUCACAUUCCUUCUAGAGUAUGUCUAACUUAUGAUAUUAGUCAUGCUGUUAAUGGAAAUGAUUAUUUGACAAUUACAUGCUAUUGGAUGGAUGAUAAUACUUGUAUGCAAAAACGUAUUAUCGCUUUUAAAUAUGAUGAAGAUCAGAGUCAUACUGCUACAUUUAUAAGUAGUACAAUUGUUAUGGAUGAUAAUACUUGUAUGCAAAAACGUAUUAUCGCUUUUAAAUAUGAUGAAGAUCAGAUUCAUACUGCUACGUUUAUAAGUAGUACAAUUGUUGAAGUUGUUGAAUUUUAUAAUCUAAAUAAAAAAGUUUUGUAUUUGUCUUUUGGUAAUGCUUCAAACAACAAUGCCGCAGUUUCAAUUUUUAAAUUGCAUUCAUAACCACCUCUUGAUGAUAUUUCUCAUGUUAGGUGUGCAUGUCAUUUUUUAUAAUUUAAUUGUUAAAAGUGACCUUGAUUUAUUUUCAGUUGAGAUUACUCAUGUUAGAANNNNNNNNNNNNNNNNNNNNNNNNNNNNNNNNNNNNNNNNNNNNNNNNNNNNNNNNNNNNNNNNNNNNNNNNNNNNNNNNNNNNNNNNNNNNNNNNNNNNNNNNNNNNNNNNNNNNNNNNNNNNNNNNNNNNNNNNNNNNNNNNNNNNNNNNNNNNNNNNNNNNNNNNNNNNNNNNNNNNNNNNNNNNNNNNNNNNNNNNNNNNNNNNNNNNNNNNNNNNNNNNNNNNNNNNNNNNNNNNNNNNNNNNNNNNNNNNNNNNNNNNNNNNNNNNNNNNNNNNNNNNNNNNNNNNNNNNNAUUGUUAAAUUUGUACAUAAAUUUUAUACUGCUACUGUUGUGUUUUCUAGCGCAUAUUACCCCACUGUUACUAUGGUUUUAGUACAUAUAGCUGAAAUUUCUUUGCUACUAUCUCAAUUUAAUAAGAAAUAAAAAUAUAUGAAUGUUGUUGAAAAAAUACAAGCAAAAUUCAAUAAUUAUGUCUUUCCAAUUCCUCCGAUUUACUUAAUUGGUGCAGUAUUAAAUCCUUUUAUUAUAAUGUCUGAUUGUCCCCAAUUAAUGAAUGCUUUAUAUACUUAUAUGGAGAUUAGAGAAACUGAAACCCCAAAUAUAUAUGAUUCUCUGAACAAGCUAAAUGAAUACUUACAACAACUGUAUAAUUAUUAUGCAAAUGAAUAUGAUAAUAUUGCUCGUGCUUCUGACAAUGUUAAACCCGCUAUGCAAUGUAGCAGUUCUGCUAAUGUGGAUGAUGAAGGCCUUGAUAGUUCAAAUAUUUUUCUACUUUUUCUCACACUCAAACCAGUAGCAGGAAUAUUGAUGAGGUUCAAUUCUACUCGCAGAAGCAAAAGGAUCCUCGUACAAAAGAAUUUUCACCGUUGGGAUGGUGGCAUGAAAAUGAAAAGCAAUUUCCAGUUCUUUUCGCUAUGGCUUGGGACGUCCUGAAUGUGCCAAUUUCCACUGUUGCAUCGGAGAGUGAAUUUAGCUAAGCUAGACAAUAACUUGGAGACGCCCACCACCCAUUGGGAAGCAAUGCUUUUGAAGUUUUAGUAUGUUUCAGAGAUUGGAUUAGAUCGGAACGAANNNNNNNNNNNNNNNNNNNNNNNNNNNNNNNNNNNNNNNNNNNUAUUUCAGAGAUUGGAUUAGAUCGGAACGAAGAAAUCAAGAAAAGGAAGAUGUUGAUAACCCAGAAGACGAGGAACUUGAAGAUAUAUUAACCAAUGGAAACUCAUCCGAAUUUAACUCCCCAAAAGAAGGUCUAUCGAUUCAUAUUGAUUAUGAUGAACUUGCUAGGGUGAUGCAAAACAUUUGAAAUUACUACUUUACUUGUUUACUUGUUAAAAAAAAUAUUUCAUUUUCUACUUUUUCAAUUUGAAAUUAAAAAAUAAAGUAGCACUUGCAAUAAGUAAUUACUACUAUACUAGUUUACUUGUUAAAAAAACAUUUCAUUUUCUACUUUUUCAAUUUUAAAUUAAGAAAUAAAGUAGCACUUGCAAUAAGUACAAUUUUUCCCCAUCUUACUAGUAUUCAUUCAAUUAUUACAAAGUAUUAAUAUAUUUAUAACUUAAUAGUUAUACUACACAUAAUUCCAAAAUUGUUUUUUUUUGAAAAUAUACUAAACCUGGCCCGUCCCCCUUCAACCCGUAAGGUUCAAUUUUAACCCGAACAAACCCAGCCCGCAAUGAACCUGUCACUGUGCAACCCGGCCCGGCCUGUUUCGGACCCGAACCGACCUGGUAGACCCGGUUAACACCCUUGGGUGAAAUUAAAUGUUUCAACCGGACCAGACCGGACCGGUAUAAACCGGGACCGGACCCGUCCGGUUACUAAGGGGCCGGGUGGGCUGGGUUGGGGCGGAAGGGGGUUGGUCAUUUUGGGAUUUCUAGGCUUGGAACCGGCCCGGUUUGACUAAGCACUACCGUGAACCGGUUGGACCGGCCCGGUUCAACGGUAAGAUGUCUUUUUUUUUUAAAAUUUUUGGGGCCCACAUUACCGUUGGCAACGGUCCAAAUCCGUUGGCCAGCGGAUAAUUUUUCAAAAAUGGCCAUUUUUUGGUUAUUUUUUAUUUAUUUAUUAAGUUACAAUAUUAACCGUUCUUAAAAUCUAUAAAUACCCUCCCCUCUUCUUCAUCUCUUCACUCAAAAUUCUUAUCUCAAUCUCAAUUCUCAAAUUAUCAAUCUCUCUCUUCCCUUCANNNNNNNNNNNNNNNNNNNNNNNNNNNNNNNNNNNNNNNNNNNNNNNNNNNNNNNNNNNNNNNNNNNNNNNNUCUCUUCCCUUCAAUUUGCAAGAUUAUAUAUUCUAAUUUUAUAAUUUUAUUUGUCUCUCUUUUCCCGAAUUUAAUUUAUCGCAAUUUGUCAUUCGGAAAAUACAAAACUCAAGCAAAUAACAAUCCUUUGCUUGAGAAAUACAAACUCAAAAACCAACUAAAAAAUCCUUUCCCCUACAUGCCAAUUUUAACCAAAUGGUUAUUUUUGUAAAUGUGACCCCUACUCAAUUUCACAUGAAUUUUGAGGUCGGCCCCGGUAUUGCGGACACAACCUUUCAGCACCUUGGGGACAAAGAUUUAAUGCUGUGAGGGUCAUGACAAAAGUGGCGGUUCAUGCAAUGUUAGCCUUCUGGUGUCUCUUCUGGAAACAUUCGGUUAUUUUUGACAAGAAUUCUCAAUUUCACAUGAAUUUUGAGGUUGGCCCCAGUAUUGCGGGCACAGCCUUUAAGCGCCUUGGGGACAAAGAUUUAAUGCUGUGAGGGUCAUGACAAAAGUGGCAAUUUAUGCAAAGUUAGCCUUCCGGUGUCUCUUUUGGGAACAUUCAACUAUUUCUGACAAGAAUGACUGCAUCUGAGUUAUUUAUGGCGAAAAUUAAUAUUUUGAUUUUUUUUGCUAUUUUUGUAAAGGGGAGGUUGGACCCGAUGAGGGUUGCCUACGUAUCUCACGCCCUGUGAGAAUCAAACCAUGCGUAGUUUGGCAAAUGAAACGAACUAUUUUAAAGCAAGGCUCUUUUUGAUUUUCACUUUUGGUAUUUCAUAAGCAAAUAACAAAACUACUUUCAAAAGCACGACUCUUUUCAUUUUUGGCAUUUCACAAAUAAAUAAGUUUUCACUUUUGGCAUUUCAUAAGCAAAUAACAAAACUACUUUCAAAAGUACGACUCUUUUCAUUUUUGGCAUUUCACAAAUAAAUAAAAUAAAUAAAUUAUUUAAAAAUAAGGAUCUUUUUUAAUUUUCAUUUUCUUUUCAACAAACAAUAAAACAUCCUAUUUUUCCGAAACUAAUAUAAAGACUCUUUUUUUUUAAACAAACAACUUUCAGAAAAUAAAAGACUCUUUUUAUAUUUACCUUUGCUUUUUUAGUAAAACAAACUAUAAAACCUUUUCCUUCUUCAUUUUUUCAAAAUUUUGGCAAAGUUUCGACAUUAUUUGUGCGUUGGUAUUUCAAAAACUAAGCAAUUAACUCUAUACAACGCUACUUCUCUCUUUUCUCUUUUUCUCAAUAUUUCUAUAUUCAGAUAUUCAGAGGCCGGUAAGAUGCAAGUCCGAAUACAUAACUGCGCAGAACAAGUAGGAUGCAUCAGGAUGGUCUUUUCAUUUCUGGUUGCUACUCCUAGACGGACCCAACCCUGUGUUGAGUCACCUAAGUUAAAUGCAACAUGAUGCAAAUAAGCGUUCCUACUAGGGAUCCGGCAUGAAGUCACAUUAGUCUAGGGCAGGAUUUAUAGGAAAGAGCUAAUGGAUUCAUGACGGGGAAGAUGAGAGGAAUUUAUGGUGUUAUUUAGUAGUGAAUUGGCUGUGGUGCCAUUCACCGGUGGUAGGGUUCUGGCGAGGUUCAAAGAACCUGUACGAGGAAGAGGGUUACAGCCUCUAAAUUUGUACAAGAUCCCCGACCAUUUUAUUUAAUUGACCAAAUUGAUCCUUAGCCGCUGGAUUAGGAUAAUUGGACGACUGUGAUCAAACAAAACGGGGCGAUGUCGUUUUGAUGGAGGACUUGGACCGGGCAAGGUGCUUUUUGGGCCGGGGCUGUGACAAACUAAAAUUGGGCCCGAAAAGACUAGACACAGAUGGCCCGAAAUGCAUUAACCCAUUCCUUUUAUUAAAAACCCUUUUGCUUUCUCUUUUUCCUUUAUUUCUUUUGUUUUCCACGUUAUAAGUUGUAUUUUUUUUUCCUUUUUUAUACUUUUAUAACGAUAAAAAUAAAACUUAAAAAAUGAAAAUAAAUUCCGAACAUUAAACUAACUAAUCUCCUUACAAUUAUCUAAAACUAUUUGAUAAAAAUAAAACUUAAAAAAAUGAAAAUAAAUUCCGAACAUUAAGCUAACUAAUCUCCCUACAAUUAUCUAAAACUAUUUUGUAAAACAAUUUCAAUCAAACCACAAAAUGAACUAUUUUUGUUAUUUCUUCAUAUUUCUUUCAAAAUAAAUUAACUCCUAAUUAAUACUAAAAUACGAAUUUAAUUCCUUAACAAAUGCCAAGUAUUUUUGUAUUUUUCAUAUGAAUUAACUUGCGUGAAUAAAAUGCAACCAAUUAACACAAAAUUCAUGAAGAUGUAAAAUAAGAAAAAAUCUUUUUGUUUGGAAUUUUUAAGAAUAAUUCAUAUGUAGGACAAAAAUUACAUGAUCACAUGAUGAAAAUUCCGCAGGUGCGAUGGAAAGUCCGCAAAUGUGGAAUAUCUGGGAAGGAAAGGGUUAAGUGCGAGGGUUUGAUUUCUUUCUCAAUUUUGGAUCUAGAGAGCACAGAUUAAGGCGAAAUUUCGAGUUUGAUUUCAUCAUCUAAUUUAGGAAUUUGGUUGAGAAAUUUAGGGAAAAAUGGUAAAAGUUCUUCAACUAUGAUUUUUGUUUUUGGUUGGGGUUUUUACAUUGCAUUUGGAUGAUUUUUGUACGAGUGGACUCGUGAGUGAAUGGGUGUUCAUAUUUUGUGACUUUUACUCGAUUCCUAGACGUGGGCCCGAGGAGGCAUUGUAGGGCAAUUUUUGAAUUUCUUAUUUAAGCGUUGAUUUCAUUAAUUAGAUUAGUAUAUAAUAGUUGUAUUUAUUAUACGUAAUUACUAUUGGCUAGAUUUGGGUCAUUCAGAGCCAGAUAUUCGUGGGAAAGGCAUUGUGACUAACUGAUUGAGCUUGGUUCAAGGUAAGUGGCUUGCCUAACCUUGUGUGAGGGAACUCCCCUUAUGAUCUAGUACUGUUUGAAAUAUGAGCGUUGUGUACGUGAGGUCGAGUGUGUACAUGAGCUCUUUAUUGAAAAACUCCAUUUUCAUUAAGUAAAAUAUCUGUUGUGCUUUAACUAAGCUACCUAGCGUAUGUAAUUAUCCUAAUAAGUUUAGAAAAGCAUGUCUAUGUGUCUUAUUACUUCUCUGAACUCUAUGUAGCAUGCUUAGUUAUAAAAUUCCUUUUUCUUCGUUGAGUUGCACUUAGUAUAAAUCGUAGAAUUUCCGUGUUUUAGUUUUAGUUCUAUUGUUUGAGUUGCAUAUUCACUUUGGGACUAUAAAAUAGAAUUGUGGGAGAUCCCCAUGUGCUGCAUAUUAACUUUGGGACUACAAUGGUAUUCUGGGAGACCUCCCUGUACUGCAGUUACUUUGGGACUACGAAACGGUAUUCAGAGACACCCCCUUGAGGACUAUAAUGGUAUUCUGGGAGAUCUCCCUGUACUGUAGUUACUUUGGGAUUACGAAAUAGUAUUCUGAGAGACUCCCUUGCAUAUUUAUGUUUGGGACUACGAAACGGUAUCUCAGAAGAUCCCCUGUUAUUACCUCACUGUACUUAGCUGUUACCUUUCUAUGGUUUCAUUCUCGUUAGACUUCAAGCCUUUAUUUUACUACGAUAUUUUAUCUUUUCUUAUUUUUAUUAUAUAUAUACUAGUAUGAGCCUGGCCUGACCUCGUCACUACUCGACCGAGGUUAGGUUUGGUACUUAUUAGGUAUCGUUGUGGUGUAUAUACUAGUAUGAGCCUGACCUGACCUCGUCACUACUCGACCGAUGUUAGGUUUGGUACUUAUUAGGUAUCAUUAUGGUAUACUCAUGCCCUUCCCCGCAUAUGUUUUUUCGUGUGCAGAUUCAGGUACUGCCUAUCAGUCGCAUUAUCAGUGAGUCGAGACAGCUUUAGAGAAUUUAAGGUAUAUGUGCCACGUCCGUAGACCUCAGAGUCCUUUUCUAUUAUUCCCCAUGUCAAACACUUCUUGUAUUUCCUUUGUUAAACUCUGAGUAUAGAGAUACUAUUUUCUUUCUGUAGUUUGUGACUUACAAUGUUCCGGAUUUUUAGAGAGUUUAUAUACAUUACGAGAGUUGACUAUAUGCUGAGCGAUAUCUCAAAUGUGUUAUUUAUGUUAUCUGUUACUAUUAGUUGUUAUUAGAUUUUUAGAGAGUUUGUAUACAUUUCGAGAGUUUACUAUAUGCCGAGCGAUAUCUCAAAUGUGUUAUUUAAGUUAUAUGUUACUAUUAGUUGUUAUCCUUUAUGUUUUUACUUCAUUUUUCCUAAAUUUUAUUCUUACCUAGUUGUAGAGAUUAGUGCCGUCACGGCAAUUAGCAGAGGAAGAAUUUGCAUCAUGACAUACUCUAAAUCAGGUAAGCCAAACGGGCUAUAGGCCAUAUAAGAACAAGAAACAAAAUUCUUUCUCUGCCAUGCUUUAUAGGAUGAAGCGACAGAGAUUGCAAUUAAAAUACAAAAUAAACACAAAAAUAUAAUAUAAAUUUCUUAUGCUUGUUGAUAACAUGUGUUCGAAGCUUGAAAAUUAUUGAAGAAAAAAAAAUUCAAUAAAUAAAAUGAAAUUUUAUGCUUACCUAGUUGUAGAGAUUAAUGCCGUCACGACAAUUAGCAGAGGAAGAAUUUGCAUCGUGACAUACUCUAAAUCAGGUAAGCCAAACGGGCUAUAGGCCAUAUAAGAACCAGAAACAAAAUUCUUUCUCUGCCAUGCUUUAUAAGAUGAAGCGACAGAGAUUGCAAUUAAAAUAUAAAAUAAACACAAAAAUAUAAUAUAAAUUUCUUAAGCUUGUUGAUAACAUGUGUUCGAAGCUUGAAAAUUAAAGAAGAAAAAAACAUUCAAUAAAUAAAAUUAAAAAUAAUUUGAGCCCAGAAGUUACUUCUGUGUCCUUAAGGAAAUUAAUAUCCUUGAUGUUGCCGAAUGUUUUAGCAAGAUCUAAGCGAUAAGCUCGACCCAAAAGACAUUAAAACGGGAUUGAUCCCAAGCCAUUUGUAUGAAUGACCGCCCUCCAAACCAACAUUUUCAUCUUCACUGUGCAGCAGCCACUAAAAUGUCUCGUUAUCUAAGUAAGAUAGUUCGUAUGAGAUUUAAAUAAGCCAUCCAAUUGUUACGCAUCAUUAUCAUUUCAAUAGGUAAAAGCAAAAGAUGAAAAAAAGAAAAAAAGGAAAUAAUCAGAAUAUGUGAUUCCCUAGCAAACGCCAAAGAUAAGAGUCCAGUAACUUAACACUCCAAAAAAUAAUUUUGUGGACUUUAUUGAUACGACGAGUUAAGUUCAACAACAACAACAACUCAGUAUAAUCCCACUAAGUGGGGUUUGGGGAGGGUAGUGUGUAUGCAGACUUUAGUCCUACCCUAGGGUAGAGAGGCUGUUUCCAAAUAGAAACCCAGCAUCCUUCCCUCCAGGAAUUUCCCACCCUUGCUCUUGGGGAGACUCAAACACACAACCUCUCGGUUGGAAGUAGGGGUUGCUUACCAUCAAAGUAACCCCUCUUGUCUAACCACGAGUAAAGUUCAAUUGUCACAAAAUUAACCCGAUGGACUUGAUGAAACUGAUGAUGAGUGACUACAAAGUGGAGAUGAUUAAUGAAAUACAAGAUGCGAGGGUAGUUAGUGUUAUAGCUUCUGUAUCAUUUUGUUGGUAGAAUAUAAAUCUUGCAUUUCAUCGUUGAUUAUAUAUCUCGACCUUUUAGUCACACGCAUCAUCAGUUUCAUCAAGUCCAUAAGAUAAAUUUUACUAGUGUUUGCUGAUCAAAGUUCACGAGACUUCAUCGUAAUUGACAUCCUCCUUCUCAUUAUUGUUGUGAGUUCUCUUCAUCUAACAACCACUUAAAUUGUGUUGAGGAUGAAUGAUUGGUAAAGAUUGAGCAAUUUAUAUAGGAGGGAGCCGUCAAGGGUUUUUUAAUUUCUUUCUUUUUCUUAUAAUUAUUAAAAUGAAAAAGUAUAGUAAGUUGUUAAUUAAGGUAAGAUAAUUGGCAUAUUGUUGAACUUAGGAAAAAAAUUUGUAAGUUGUUAGGAGAUUUAGAAAAAUCAAUGUGAGUGAAUGGGUGUUCAUAUUUUGUGAAGAGAUAGAGAUAGAGAGAGAAGUUGCAUUAUUCGAGAAUAAUUAUGCCCCCUAUUACAAUGAAGGUGUCCUUUAUAUAGUAGGAGACCUUCUCCGAAAUAAUUAAAAAGUACACAAGUUAGUUGCUUCCACUCAGUAAAUAAGCAAGACCCUACACAACGCCGCCUUUACUUUAUCAACUGGGUCGUACCCUCACUUGGGUCGACCUUAUCAUAAUGGACGUGGCCACUCGGUCUGGGAACAUUGAGAGCAAAAUUUUACCCUAUUAGUCCCUCCAUAUUUUGGAGAUGUGCUUGAUGAUCGUCUACAAUGGACAGACAUGCAUACUUCGUUUUUAUGGAAUUUGCCGCACCCAUCCUCUUUCAAAAGACAUAAGCGUGUGUAAUAUUGUUGAGUCGUUGACAUACAACCCCUUUCCUAGAAUGACGUCCCUGGUCAUGUGCGUCAUCAUUAUACUUAUUCCCAAAACGAUUCAGAUCGUAUUGUUGAGUCGUUGCCAUAACCCCUUUCCUAGAAUGAUGUCACUGGUCAUGUGUGUCAUCAUUAUACUUAUUCCCAAAACGAUUCAGAUCAUGACAUGAUGUUUUGAUUUCCUGCGUCAGUUUUUGAACUGUGCCUUUUCGAUUUCCAUGUACCUUAUCCCUAUAAAUAGAGGAGUGGUUCAACGGGAUUCAUCUUUCGAACCUUUGGAGAGUAUCCCUUUAUUUUUUUUCUUCAUCUUUCUUUCUAGUAAUUGUUGCUUCGUUUGAGAACUACCAUUUAUGGGGAUUGUACCUCUUGUUGUUGACACCGUUCCUCAUAAAUUAUACCAUGGUGAAGUAUCGUCAAGACAAAAAAAUGACCAAGGAUAUGGCCCCUUCUAGGGCUCAGAAUUCCUCCGAUUUUUCAUGUACCUUAUCCCUAUAAAUAGAGGAGUGGUUCAACGGGAUUCAUCUUUCGAACCUUUAGAGAGUAACCCUUUAUUUUUUUUCUUCAUCUUUCUUUCUAGUAAUUGUUGCUUCGUUUGAGAACUACCAUUUAUGGGGAUUGUACCUCUUGUUGUUGACACCGUUCCUCAUAAAUUAUACCAUGGUGAAGUAUCGUCAAGACAAAAAAAUGACCAAGGAUAUGGCCCCUUUUUGACAUCGUUCCUCAUAAAUUAUACCAUGGCGAAGUAUUGUCAAGGCAAAAAAUGACCAAGGAUAUGGCCCCUUCUAGGGCUCCGCCUUCCUCCGAUGGUGAGGGGAAGAAGUGAAGAAAAUCCUCAUUCCCCUAACGUUGGAUAAUAUUCUUCCGAAAAACUUGAGUGUUCGAACUAACUUCAACUCGACGUACCCCUCAUUUCCUUGGGUGAAAAGUGAGUUAUUGCAGUGUCACUUAGAGAUAGCGCCCUUUUGACCUCACAACAUGGAGCCGUGCCGGAGGUGGCAUCUUAGGCGGUGCCUGAGGUGUUACAUGAGGUUGUACCAGUGACAACACCUGAGGCCGUGCCUGUGAUAGCGCCUGAGGCCACUACAACGGAGGUGACUUCUGAAGGCGAAGAGCCGCCAGAUAGAAAGAGGCGUCGAAUGAUUACCAGCAAGGGAAUUGGGACUAAGAGCGUGAGGCCUAGUAAGCCCCGUCGAGAGCCGAGGCUAGUUUCUAUGGUUGAGGCCAUCCGUUCAGGGAGAUUGGCCCCUGGGGGAACAACUGGCGUUGUCCAAUUAGCCCGUGCCCCAAAAGGCAGGUCGUAUUCUGCAGUUAGGGGAGCGGACCUGGAAAUUGAAAGGACGACCUCUGAGGCCGCUCUUGGAGAAGCAACAAGGGACUCAGCCCGCGCGGAGAUGAGGGCGGGCAAGUCUACACGUCGAUUUGUAAUCCUUGGCGGGUAUAAUUUGUUAGAAGACAGCGAGCAAGACGCAACAGAUAUGACUUUUUUAUAUGCGGCUGCCGAACAUGAAAUGCUGAAAAGCAUAAGUAAUAGGCAUUUGUCGAGGUGGAUCGUCGGUGCGACUUUGGAGGUAGCUUUUUGUUUUCUUUUAUGAGUUGUAAAAGCGAAUUUGUCAUGUACUGACGUGUUUACUCUCUUCUUCCCUCAUCUUGGAGGUGUAGAGGAGGUGGCGUGAAUAAAAGAAGGCAGCCACCUUCAAUAAAAUGGCAAUGAAAUACAUGGAGUGCCGUGUCAAGCUCUAGGCGCUGGCAGAUAUACUUAAGCAAGAUCCCCAGUUUCGGAUAUUCCGUGAGGGUCUUGAGGAAUCAAACGCUCUUUGAAGAAGAGGGUGGCCGAGCUAGAGGAAGUUGACAAGCAGUUGAUGGCUGCUUUGGCUUGAAACAUCAAGCUAGAGACUCUCCUUCAAUCCAAAGAGGAGGAACUGGAGAUAAGCCGUGGGGUAGCGGCGAAACUGCUGAGAACCAGCUUUGAUUUAUGCCGGAACGUUCGACUACAAAAGCCAUCCACCUUGUUAGGAUAUUGGUGGAGAAGUAUAAGGAGAGAAAGAAGGACUUGCAUAUGGUGUUCAUCGACUUAGAAAAGGUGUAUGAUAAAGUUUAGAGGGAGGUUUUUUGGAGAUUUUCGGAGGCUAGAGAUGUACGUGUUGCCUACGUUAGGUUGAUUGAAGAGAUGUAUGAUGGAGUAAAGACCUGAGUGAGGAUGGUGGGUAGGGAUCAAACCAUUUUUCGAUUAUAAUGGGGUUGUAUCAGGGGUCGGCACUCAGCCCUUUUUUGUUUGUUCUGGUGAUGGACGUGCUGGCGCACCACAUACAAGGACAGGUAUCGAGGUGUAUGCUAUUUGUAGAUGAUAUUAUAUUGAUCGACAAGGUGCGAGACGGUGUGAACGCGCAAUUAGAGAUAUAGAGGCAGAAUCUGGAAUCUAAAGGUUUCAAGUUGAGUUGGACCAAGACAUAAUACUUGGAGUGUGAUAUCACUGACAAGACUCAAGGAGGAAAAUGAGAGGUGAGACUGGACUCGCAAGUCAUCCCUAGGAGAAAGAGUUUUAAGUACCUUGGAUCUAUUAUUCAUGGGGAUGUAGAAAUUGAGGACUCGCAAGUCAUCCCUAGGAGAAAGAUUUUUAAGUACCUUGGAUCUAUUAUUUAUGGGGAUGGAGAAAUUGAUGAAAAUCUCACAUAUCAUAUUGGGGCGGGAUGGAGGAAAUGUAGACUUGUUUCUGGUGUUCUUUGUGACAAGAAGGUGUCACCCCAACAAUGUUGUAUUGGGUUGAGUUGGCCCGUCAAGAUCGCCCAUGUCCAGAAGAUGAAUGUAGCAGAGAUGAGGAUGUUGACAUGGAUGUAUAGGCAAACCAGGUUAGAUAUGAUUAGAAAUAAGGUUAUUCAUGAUAAGGUGGGUGUGGCUCCUAUUAAGAACAAGAUGCGGAAAGCGCAUAGUAUGUGUAAAAUCUGUGUAUACACUAUCUUCUUGAAAUCCCAUAAUGUGGGAUAACACUGAGUAUGUUGUUAUUUUUGUUGUUGCUGUCAUUUAAAUAUUUAUGUUAGACUUUAUAAUAAGGUCAUCAGAGGGGUUCAAUUCUAAAAUGACUUUUUCUGCUUGUUACCUUAUGAAACAGAGAAAAAGUUGAACUCACGAAAUGUCCCAGGAUUACAGAUUAAGGGAUUCAAUUCUAAAAUGACUUUUUCUGCUUGUUACCUUAUGAAACAGAGAAAAAGUUGAACUCACGAAAUAUCCCCGAAUUACAGAUUAUAUGUUGAUCAUCAUUAUUUUUCCCCUUUAUUAGAAGAGCUUCUCUAUAUAUUUGAGAUGAGGUAAAUUACUUUCUCGUUAGAAGUGUGAAACUUGAAGUAGAAAUGUUACGGAUAAGUUUUGUCACUGAAUAUGUUUUAUUAUACGUAGAGGAGGAGGGAAAGAGAAAAUGACAUUACAAGCUGGAAUCAAACCCUCACCAAUAAUGUAAUGAUAUUAAAUAUGACAUUUAAUUUAUUUGUGAACAUUAAUACUCAUAUCGUUAAAUGUUCUGAUACUUGCAUAGACUCGGAAGAUUACCGGAUUUUAGAGUUUGACUAGUGAAUGGUAAGAUAUAAUUGACAACUCUCUUGAUUAUCUAAUUAAUUCAAGAUUUUAAUAAGAAAUAAAAUUAGAAGGAAACUGUCACAAAUCAAAACUAUAGGGUUGUGAUCAGCUCUCAGUGCUGCUUCCGUAUGACCAUAGCAGAUUUAGCUGGGGAUUUGUAGGUUCAAUUGAUCCCAAGAUUUGACUUUUGAGUAAAGCACCUCGGAAUCGAGAUUUGAUGGUUUUAACAGGUUUGUAUGUCGAUUGUGGACUUGGUCGUAUGUUCGGAUUAGAAAUUUGGAUGUUCCUAGAAGGUUUUGGCCCUAUUUGCCAAACAUUUGGCAAUUUGAAUAAUUGGAAAGUUCACAAGUAUCACCGCAAGUUGAUUUGAUGGUAUUGUUGAAAAAUAAAAUUAAAAUUAACUUGAUUUUGUAUUAAUUAUUUGGCUUAAGAAAUUAUGAAAAAUAAAGAGACCAAUUAGCCUAUUUUCUAGAAUGUGAGCCCUUUGGCCCAUGUUCUAGAAAUGUGCUCUAGAAAUAUCUUUAGAAUAGUAGACUGAUAUAGGUAAGUAUGGAGUGAUCUAGAGAGUGGAUAUUUUUGUAGAAUUGUGUAGAAUGUGAUUUGUAGCCAUUAGACUAAAGUUGUGUUGGAUAAAUCUUGGCCAUUGAUUGAGGAAGUGGCCAAGUAUAAAUAGGUGUAGGAUUGUUCAUUUUAUAUUAAGCCAAAAAAAAAAAAAUCAAAAACAAGUUUGAGUAAUAAAAGUUUCUUUUGGCCAAGUAUAAAUAGGUGUAGGAUUGCUCAUUUUGUAUGAAGCAAAAAAAAUCAAAAACAAGUUUGAGUAAUAAAAGUUUCUCUUCUCCAAAAUCUUUCUACUCUUCAAAAAUUCCCUUAGCCUAAAAGCCUCCCUCCAAAUAUUAAUAGCAAUCCUCUUCCAACAAAGUGGAAUCAGAGCCACAAGAUUCUAACCAAAAAUUUCUAAAAUCAUGGCAAAUAGUGUUGCAUCCUUCCAAGUUCCUAUGCUCAACAAGAGCAACUAUGAUAAUUGGAGUAUCAAGAUGAAGGCUCUCCUAGGUGCACAUGAUGUUUGGGAUAUUGUAGAUAAAGGCUACAGUGAGCCCCGAGAUGAAUCUACAUUAUCCCAAACUCAAAAGGAUGGUUUGAAGGAUUCAAGAAAUAGAGACAAGAAAGCUCUCUACCUCAUCUACCAAGCAUUGGAUGAUGAUGGGUUCGAGAAGAUCUCAAGUGCAACCACUGCUAAUGAAGCGUGGGAGAAACUCCAAACGUCCUACAAAGGUGCCGAGCAAGAAAAGAAGGUACGCCUCCAAACAUUAAGAGGAUAAUUUGAGUCUCUACAUAUGAAAGAAGGGGAGUCCAUUUCCGACUAUUUUCAAAGAGUUUGGUGGUUUCAAAUUAAAUGAAAAGAAAUGGUUAAAAAUUGGAAGAUGUUAGACUUAUUGAGAAGAUACUCCGGUCAUUAACUUCCAAAUUCGAGCAUAUUAUCAUAACAAUUGAAGAAACCAAAAAUUUGGAGGAGAUGUCAAUUGAUCAAUUAAUGGGAUCCUUACAAGCAUAUGAAGAAAAGCAUAAGAAAAAACAAGAUAUAGUGGAGCAAUUAUUCAUCCUUACAAGCAUAUGAAGAAAAGCAUAAGAAAAAACAAGAUAUAGUGGAGAAAUUAUUCAAGAUGCAAAUAAAAGAUAAGGAAGAAAGUAUCAGAAAUGGAUGAGGUCAAUAUGGAAGAGGUCGUGGUCAUGGACGAGGUCGAGGCCAUGGACGUGGACGAGGAGGUUUCAACAACAAGAAAGAAAGAAGAGAAUACCCAAGUCGUGGGAGAGGCAACCAAGGUGCAAGGUAGGAUAAAUCUCAAAUCAAAUGUUAUUCAUAUAAAAACUAUGGACACUAUGCUUCACAAUGUAGAUGGUCUCAAACCAAAGUCGAAGAGACCACCAACCUUGUGGAGUAUAUGGGCCAAAAACACGUGACCCUACUUCUAACAUACAAAGGAGAAGAAGGGAGACAAGACAACACUUGGUACCUUGACACCGGGGCGAGCAACCAUAUGUGUGGAAAGAGGAGCAUGUUCGUGGAGCUCGACGAAUCGGUGAGUGGUAAUGUUUCUUUUGGUGAUGAAUCCAAAAUACCAGUGGAAGGCAAAGGUAACAUCCUAAUCCGCUUGAAGAAUGGAAAUCACCAAUUUAUCUCAAAUGUCUACUGUGUGCCCAACAUGAAAA